GUUUUCUAAAUUCAUUGUUCACAAGGCAUUCUCUAAGGGAUCCACCUAUCCCUAGGUCCUUCGACCUCUAGUGUUAUUUACACUACGUUAAUGCCACUCGUUAUCAUUCAAUAUUUGGAUGCCACUCGUUUGUUCUUUGACAAUAACACUACUUUCUAUGUCAUCAAUACCCCCGUCGGGUUCAUCUCUAUCUUUAGCAUCAUAGGAUCCACGUUCCGACCCAAUCCUCACCUAUCUAGUUACCAAGCGUUCCAAGUACACUAGGUUAUCAUUUAGAAAGCAUAAGGAUGGAGCUACCAUGCAAUCCUACAAUGCAACAUGUAAGAGAUGAGAUUAAAUGCAAUCUAAGACAUAGAAAGGAGUUCGAAAGUUUCGGAUGACACCCCCCACCUUGUUACCAAUGUAGAGGCUUUGGAAAUUCUUGUCGGCGAGCUUUGCAAAAAGGCUUUAGCCUUCCUCGCCCGAAUCAAUGCUAGCCCGGCCCAAUUUUGCCGAGAACUCCACGUCGGUUCGCCGAAUGCCAAAAUCGACUUCGCCCCCGCGUUUUGGGACCUAUCAAUAGGGUUUCCAAGGCUUCAAAUGAGAUCAAUCUCAUACAUUUACAAAAACCUCAUUUUGGAACCCUAGAUUUGCACCUAUAGCAAAUCACCCCAUAAAUCCCUAGAUUCUUGGGAUUGAUCUAUUUAGAAGCUUGCUUAGGGUCCAUUUGACCCAUUCCAAGGCAUAAAACCCAAAGACCCUAAGUUCUAGAAGCUAGGGUUAGUAGCUUACCUCAAGAGCUACUCCAAUGGGAAGAGGAGAGGGAGUUGGAGGUGCUCAAAGCCUUCCUCUUGAUCUCCUUCUUCUUCUCCUUCCUUAUCUUCCUCUUCUUUUCCUUCCUCUCCUUCUUGUUCUUCUUCUCCUUCUUUCCUUUCUAGAGAGAGAGAGAGAGCAAGAGAGAAAUGAAAGUGAGAGAGAGAGGAAAUGAGAGAGUGUGAGGGAGAGAGAGGGCUCAGCCCACUCAAAUAAAUGCCAUUUUGCACAAAAGCCCCUCAACUUUCACCCCUGUGCACUGCCCUUACUGGGCAGUUUUCGCGCGGAGGGACCGGUCUCCCCGACUUGGGACCGGUCCCCGAGAGCUUCCCUCGGGCGCACGCGUUCGGGAACCGGUCUCUCCCCGGGAGACCGGUCCUCGGGAGACCGGUCCUCACCUGAGAGACCGGUCCCCGAGAGCUUGAUUUUCAGGACUUAGCUAAUUUUUGGCAUCUCACACUUGGGCCACGUUCGGGAACCGGUCCCUCACCACCAGGGACCGGUUGCAUCACGCAACCCCGCAACACCCAGCCGAGGGAACCGGUCUCUCACCUGCAGAGACCGGUCCCCGAGAGCAACUUCUGCCCAAUGAUGCCAUUUGCCUCAUUUGCUCUCGCGGACUCAACUCCAAGGCACUCUUUGUGCUUUGGACAUUCUCAACUCCCACCAAGGGUUUACUUGCGACAAUCAGUCGAUCCUGGGUGAAGUACAAUCCUCGUAUUUCGAGAAUUCACUUCCUUACACUUUUAUCAUAUAUAUUUGGAUGCCCCGGCUAGAUUAGUUGCAGCCACAGCACGUGCAUAUAUGUUAUAUCAGAUUAGCUGUAGUCUAUUUUCAAACCCCACCGGAUAUGGAGUUCACCUUAAGUGGCUGCCAUUUAUAGCGGAUUUUGAUGCAUGUGGCGGUUUAGCCUGGGGUGCAACAGCACUGGCCUAUCUAUAUCGAGCAUUGGGAUCGGCUGCAUUAAAAGGAAAGGUCGAAUGCUGUUGCUUCGCGACAUUAGUACAGGUAUUAUGAGUAAUAUAUAAUAAUUGUUAUAUAAAGCUUCUCCUUUUUAAUUUCACUUGUUUAAUUUAUUGUCAUUUAUUUAUAGAUUUGGGCGUGGGACCAUCUUCAUGUCGGCCCACCUACUAGCGUUGGAGCUAUUGCCGACAUGGCUGAUUGCCCUUUGGGUUGUCGAUAUGAUAUAUGAAUUUGAUACAUAUUACAUUUCUAUAUAUACAUUUGCAACUAACACGUAUACUUUUCCAAUAUUAGGUGGACGAACGCCGGCGUGUUACGUUUUGGAGCAAACGUUAGAACAACAGAUAUUGAAUUCUACCAAGAUGAGUUAGAUCAGCAGAGAAAGUCCCAGGUACGUAUUAAUGCUACCAAUUUUUUUAAUAUACAACCGUAUUAAUGCAUUCAGCUGACUAUUAUUGGCUUUUUCAUAGAUUACAUAGCGGCCGUACACAGAUGCUAUUAUAGAUGCGCUAUCGGCAUUCUAUGUACAGGGCAGUGAGGUAUGGUGAUCGAGGACGACACUGAUUUCUUUUCAUAUCGUUGAGCUUCACGUGCCGGAUCGAGUCCUACGGCAGUUUGGUCUCCACCAGCAUAUACCCAUUCAGGUGGAGACCAUCCGUCGCGUCACAUCUCAGGGGGCGGCCAGAUGAGGAUUGGACCCAUUUUCAUGCUGCACACAUCAAGAGAUGAGGACAAAGAUUACAGGCCAUUAUUGACCAGCAUCCGAUUGUCGAUGAUGACUCGGUACAGGCGACUUCUAUUUAUAUGGAGUGGUAUUGGCAGAUCACGAGAAGAUGGAUUUCUCGUCCAGUACAGCGUCCACUAUUGACUUACCAGCCUCGGGGCCAGAUCGAGAGAGCUUUGGUACGAUCACUCAUAUGCUAAUUAUUUUUUUAAUCAUAUAUAUAUUAUAGAUUGCCAAAAGUGAGUUUUUAUCGAUAAUGCAGGUAGACGCAUUACGACAGUCUCAGUAUAGCAUCGGACAGCUAGUUCGUGAUCAACCUUCUUACGAUACGAUGCUGGAGAUAUUGACGGGCAUGUAUGCCCACAUUGAGUCAGUACUGGAGUACAUUCCUUUCAUACCUAUUGCCGCUGAUAUCGGAGGUCGAGAUUUUGGUCAUGCCUCGACAUCGGGUCAUCACAAGAGACAAUCACCGACAUCUACUGGAUCAUACUCGAGAUCGAGCCUGCGAGUGUCACGAUCUCCAUCUCCUACUGAUGUUGCAGAUAUGCCCGCCGCCCCUUCAAGAUUUCCUUCUUGCCAUUGGACUUGGACUCGCUUCCGCCGCCAGUCUCUCGAGAGCACUUUAGAUUAGUCUACUAUUGACGUCAUGCCGCGUCAUCAUGACAGGCCCGCCUAGCAUCUACAUCGGCCACUAUCGAGGGUGAUCGACCUGAGCCAGAGGAGACUCAUGCGAUUCCGGAGCAUCCCGAGGGCAUUAUCAUUGCGGAUCUCGAUCAGAUGGCCGGUAUCGAGGCACUUGAUGACGUACCUACUGCUGAGCUCGAUGUACAGGGUGGCCGUAUGUGACACCCCAAUAGUCCCACAUCGGAUGGAAAAGGGGUUGUCAUUGGGUUUAUAUGAGACUUAGACACUAGUAAUAAUAACUGGGCUUAAGCAUUUUGGGCCGGUGGUUGGGCCCAACGAGUUAUUGUUGCUAGUGGGCUGGGUCGUUACAUUUGGUAUAAGAGCCAGUUUACCAGCUGGACAUGUGUGGCGAGUCUCGGCUGAGCCAAGGUCUAGAUGACGGGCUAGCGAGACGAGUCUCACAUCGCCUGGUGAUCUUGGGCUGUGUGUGUGAUUGGACUGACGAGGACGUCAGGGCCUUAACGGGGGGAGUCUGUGACACCCCAAUAGUCCCACAUCGGAUGGGAAAGGGGUUGUCAUUGGGUUUAUAUGAGACUUAGACACUAGUAAUAAUAACUGGGCUUAAGCAUUUUGGGCCGGUGGUUGGGCCCAACGAGUUAUUGUUGCUAGUGGGCUGGGUCGUUACACUGUAGAUGUGGACGUGGCCGUGGCCAAGGAUGUGGCCGAGGACGUCGAGGGAGAGGAAGAUCAAGAGACUGAUUGUAUAUUUUUUUUAUUUUGAGAGCAUUCGUUGUAUAAUAUUAUAUAAUACUUUAUUUAGUUCAUAUUUGUAUAUUUGUCUGUGUUUUUUUUAUAUUUUUACCUAGUUGAUUGUAUCUUGUUAUUCCACUUGUGAUGUUGUGUUUCUUGUUGGAAUAUUUGUUAUCGUGAAAAAACUUGCCUCAAACUUGUUCUAACUUGUUUUUAAAAUCGAGCUGAAUUUAUCACCUGCUGCAUGUUUGCACUAAAGGCGGUGAAUGGUUCACCGCCUCUAGUGCAAAUCCACGAAGCCCUCCACGAAGCUGCAAAAAAAUGGCUAUUUCCUAGACUGGGGGCUGUUUACAUUAAAGGCGGUGAACUAUUCACCGCCGUUAGUGUAGCACAAAUAAGACGGUAAACCAUUCACCGUCUUAUCAGUGUUUUAGCCCGAACUCCAGGACUUAGCCAAAUUAGGCUGGGUGGGAGUUUACUCUAAAGACGGUAAAUCAUUGACCGUCUUAUGAAGACGGUGAACAAUUCACCGUCUUAUAUAGGCCACAAAACCGUCGACUUUUGCGGGGAUUUGCUGCGAAGGUGGUGAAUGGUACACGCCUUCAGAAGGCGGUCAACCAUUCACCACCUUCUCUAGGACACCUUGGCAAAGCCGGGGUUGGGAUUUGCCGAGAAGACGGUAAACUAUUCACCGCCUUCUCUAGGGCACCUUCGGAAAGCAGGGGAGGGGUUUUGCUCUAAGGGAAAGCGGGGGAGCGGUUUUGCUCUAAAGGCGGUGAAUGGUGGUGAACGAUUCACCGCCUUAUGAAGAUGGUGAACGAAUCACCGUCUUUGCGAGAAAAAUCUGAGGUGGCGCCGACGUGGCGAAAUGAGGGUUAGUUUUACAAAUAAAUUUUUCAGAGGGUCAUUUUGCCAAUUACAAAAUUUUACAGGGUUAUUUUCAAAAAAAGCCCUGAUAUUAUUAUUAUUAUUAUUAUUAUUAUUAUUAUUAUUAUUAUUAUUAUUAUUAUUAUUAUUAUUAUUAUAAAAUAUUAUUAGUGAACCAUACACUACAAAUAUAAAAUAUUUUAACAAUAAAUUUUUAAUUAAUAUUUUUAUAUUUAUAUUAUUUUAUUAUUUUAACUAUUAAUUCAAUAAAUUUAAAUAAAUAUAAAAAUAAUUUAAAUUAGUUUAUAUAAGGUUUUCUUUUUAAUAUUUAGCCCCUCAAACAAAAAUUUUCAUAAAUAGUCCGAUAAAAUUUAUAUUUGCAAGAUUAGUUGUAUUCCCGCCACGGAAGCGCCAUAUAAGCGCCACGUGAGUAUGGAUGAUGGUGCAGAUUAAAUUGAACAUGGUGAAUCAUUCACUGUGUAGGAACACGGUGAAGGAUUCACCGUGUUCCAUUAUUUUCCUACCAAGUAAUAUUUAGGGUUAUGGUUUAGGAAAGACACGUUAAACCAUUUACUGUGUUCAACUUAAUAUUGCGCUCGCGUUGCGCUUCCAUAGUAGGGAUAGGGCCUAUCUUACAAUAUAAAUUUUGUGGGGCUAUUUGUGAAAAAGGAAAAUCUAAGGGGGCUAAAUGCAAAAAAAGCUCACUAUGUAUGAUAUAAUUUUUUGUAAAAAUUUACCAAUAAUUAAAUCAUUUUAUGAACGGAUGUGAAAAAAAAAAUUAUUAGAACGGAAACUACUAAAUUAUUUUUAAAAACUUUAUAUAAAUUUAAAAUUUAAUAAAUUUAAUAGAUAUAGUAAUUGUUAGUUAUUGGUUAUUUAAUUUUAUUUCAUUAAAAUUAAUUAUAAUUAUUGAAUUUGGCCAAAUUUUGAAUAAAAUUUAAUAAAAAUUUUGUUUAGUUAACUAAACCUAAUCAUAAAAAAUCAGAAAUUAUACAGAAAUUAGUUAAAAUUAAAUAAAUUUGAGAGAUCUAUUAAAAAGCAUCCUAAUAGUUGAAGGGGCUCUUCACAUAUUUUUUUACCAAUACUUUUUUUUUUUUGGUGAAAAUGUAAAAGGACAUCCUCACCUAUUGACAAUUUUGAUAUGGACCCUUUAUUUUUUCAGGCCAUUAUAAAAAAGAUCCCUAGUUAUUUUUUUUCCAUACAAAUUCAACUUUAAUUUUUAAUAUAAAUUAUUAUCUUACUUAAAUUAAAUUUUUAUUAAUGUACUAACACUAUUAACUAUUAGCUAUUAAAUUAUAUAAUUUUAUUUUACAAAUUUGGUAAAGUUCCUAAGAAAUUCUUAGAAUCUCUAAUUUAAUUAAUUCCAAUAAUUCAAUUCCAAGAAAAGAUAAAAAUUUAAUAAAUCUAAACAAUAAUUUAAGGCUAAAUUGCAAAAAAUGCUCUACCACUUUAUCUCUCGCCUCAAUAAUCCCCGCACUAAAAAUUACACAAAUUACUCUCCUAUAUUUUGCCAUUAUUUCAAAAAAGCUAUAAAAUUUUUUAAAAAUAANGGCCCCGCUGUUUGCUGUUCGGCUUUAAGACUUUAAUACAAUUUCUCAAGAUAAAUGACAAAAACUGCACUCCCCGCAACAGGGAUAAUAGUGCAACGCGAAAAAGCAAUGCCAGAAAAAAUGGUGCAACUGCCCUUCUAACAUGCAACGUAGGGUAAAAGACUACAACUGUGAUUGUAAUAGUGCAAUGUGGUCGACAGAAUAGUUCAAUGGUUUUAGGAAGCGGAGGCGUCGGAGAAGAGACCGAACAGCAAACACUAGGUGCGGAGUAGGAGGAGGCUCCACCACCUCUUUAUUGCCGCCGCCGCCGUGGCGCUUCACCUCCGCGCACCAGGGAUAAUAGUGCAAGGCGAAGGUUCUACGGCAGGAGAAAUAGUGGAACGAACCUUCUAACAUGCAACCGUAGCCUCGUUCUAGUGCAACCUCUCCAUAACCAAUCAAAAUUUUACUUAUUUUAUUUCAUAAUGUAAUCUUAAGCUAAUAGUAAAAAUGAAAGGACAUGGGGGCCGUCGAUAAUACCGGGGCGGAGUGGGAGGAGGCUCCACGAUGUCUUUAUCGCCGCCGCCGCCGUGUCGACUUCACCUCCGCGCGCCAGGGAUAAUAGUGCAACGCGAAGGUUCUAUGGUAGGAGAAAUGGUGCAACGGCCCUUCUAACAAUGCAUCCGUAGCAUCGUUCUAGUGCAAUCUCUCCAUAACCAUUCAAAAUUUUACUUAUUUUAUUUCAUAAUGUAAUCAUAAGCUAAUAGUGCAAAUGAAAGGGCAUGGGGGUCGUCGAAAAUACCGGGGCGGAGUGGGAGAAGGCUCCACCACCUCUUUAUCGCCGCCGCCACCAUGUCGACUUCACCUCCACGCGCCAGGGAUAAUAGUGCAAGGCGAAGGUUUUACGGCAGGAGAAAUGGUGCAACGACCCUUCUAACAGUGCAUCCGUAGCAUCGUUCCAGUGCAACCUCCCCAUAACCAUUCAAAAUUUUACUUAUUUUAUUUCAUAAUAUAAUCAUAAGCUAAUAGUGCAAAUGAAAGGGCAUGGGGGCCGUCGAAAAUACCAGGGCGGAGUGGGAGGAGGCUCCACCACCACUUCAUCCCCGCCGCCGCCAUGUCGCUUCACCUCCGCGGGCCAGGGAUAAUAGUGCAACGCGAAGGUUCUACGGCAGGAUAAUGGUGCAACAACCAGUCUAACAGUGCAUCUGUCACGCCCCGAGACCGGCACCAAUUUGGCCCGACCCGAGCACGUCAAACAGACGCCGAACGGACAGAGUUUCCCCUGUCCGCCCAAGGCUCAUCACAUGUACAAAAUUCAAACAAGAAUUGCACUAGCGGAAACAUACACAAACGGCUUACACGAGGGUAAGCAAAAGCCAUUAGUGAAAGAAAAAGGAAAACUAAACAUUCACUUGUACUAUGAUUCAGUUUUGAUCAUAUACAUUGCAUUCAUCUUGUUCAUUUUCGAAUUCCUUACAUUUCCUUACAUCAUUUCAUCAUUUCUUUCUUACAUCACGUUUACCUCAAAACAAGCUUUACAUUCUUUCUUUACAUCACUAAUCAUCAAGUACAAAAGAUGAUAAAAGGGUGUCUACUAACAAAAUGUAACCCAACAUUGGUGGCCUUUGACUACGGUGCGAUACCUUUACCGCGGUCGCUCGCCGGCUCACUCGGUCCCGGCUCUGUGGAAAUAGUGGGGUGAGAACUACAACAAAGUUCCCAGUGGGUUCGGCCUCAACAUCACCGACUUUCCCACUAGGACUAACUCAGGCAUAAUAGAAAGGAUAAGCUGAAAUAUAGUAACCAAUCUACAACAUGAUGCUAAUAUGCCUGAACAAAAUCAAGGAAUAUGCUCAACAUUAAACAGAUGCAGAUUAUGCAAGUUCUUUCGUUCUUUACACUUUACACUUUACACUUUGUUCUUUGCUCUUUGUUCUUUACUCUUUAAUCUCAAGGCUAACCCGGGGGUUUCGCCACAUUAACUUGCUUCACAUUAAGUCCAUCAUCGCAGGAACUCACCCGCUAGGACCGUCCUUACGGGUUUACUCCAACACGGAUGCAUAACUCCGGAGCGCAUCGCCGAGGGGAAGCGACCGGCCUCGAGACGUCGAACUAAUAGCAAGCAUGAUCAUAUCCUUACUGCAAAUGAUUUUAAUAAGUUCAAUCUUGACUUUACACUAGCUUUAGUGUUCAUUAUACUCAUUUAUGUUGGCAAAUCAUGCAAUCACGAAUUCUUUCGUUUUUUUAUUUUGCUAACUCUAGCAAUUUAUUCUUUACAUCUUUCUGUUUUGGCCCUACUCCUAGCACUUCGUCGUUCUAUUAUUUCCCACACUCUACUUUUAACCUUAAAAACAUAGUCUUUUUAUCAUUUCCUUUACAUUGCGUUUUGGUUCGUUUGCACUCACACGUACUCUAGUGUUCUCUUUACUUUACAUUUUAAUGGCCACUCGAUUCAUACUGUCAUUUGCACUCUGUUCGAUUUUGCUCACUUUGGAAGUACUCCAUUCUUUCUCUAUGCAUACAGUCUAGUGUUUUGGACAUUAUUAGGUGUCGUAACCAUUCAUUAUGCAAGUUAGUGUCACAAUCAUGCAAUUCAUACAUUUCAUCCUUACUUACCAUAAAAUGCAUGCAACAGUAUAUAGAAAAUGAUGCUCAAAGAAUGGACACAUUAAGGAUGAGAGAAUUUCAAUCGAGUUUUGAAAAAGCUCCCCUGAUGAUAGGUCUUAUUUAGGUGCUCGGUGUUUCUUGGUGAUUUUUAUGAACAGUCAUAUUGUUUCUGUUACCAUAACAGGCAAAACACGAACUUUUUAGGUUCCCAUUUUGCCCUUACUUGCUUUGACUUUCGUUAAAGUUUAUAAAGUUCCCUUAGACGCCAACCAGAGCCGUCGGAAAUAACCCCCAAUCUAGAUUGUUGUAAGCUGUGCAAUUGUCAACUUAGAAAUCCCCAUGAGCACAAAAUGCUUUCAUUUGGGUCGGCCCUAGUCCAAUGUAAAUCAAAAGACUAGGGGAUCAAUUGAUCUCAUUGGGAAGCAAAGUAGCUUAUGUACACUCUAAUUAUUCCAUUAAACCCAAUUAUUAGGCCUUUCAAAACCUAGUUAGUUGGAUAUUCACCAUAGAGGUGGGUUGAAGCUCACCUUGAGCUCAACCAUGGUUUUGAUCUUUCUAAAGAAGCAAAAGAAAGCUUAAUACUCUUAAAAACUCACAUAAAAACAAUUCUAGGCUUACCCAAACCCUAGUUUGGAGAAUCAUCGAAAGGGGCAAAGCUUACCUCAAGCUUGCCUAACUUGACUAAGAGAGAAGAAGAUGAAGCUACCUUUUGAUAGAAUGAUGUUUCAACUUCUCUUUGAUCUGUUUUUCACUUCUCGUUCUCUCGUCCUUCCUUACCUUCUUUUCUUCUUUCUCUUCUCUACCUUUGAUAUUCUUGUGAGAGAGGGAGAGAAGAGAGUGUGAGAGGGUGAGAAUGAGAGAAAUGUCUCAUUUACCCCAAUACUAUACUCAAUGGGUUGCAAAAUUGCAGCUAAACCCCUCAACUUUCACUUUAAUACACUGCCCGAACUGGGCAGUUCGCGCAGGCAGGGACCGGUCUCUCCCUUUAGGGACCGGUUCCCGAACGUUGUCCCAGCACAGCCAGAGCUGCUGCGCGCAGUGCAACCGGUCUCUCUCUGUGGGACCGGUCUCUCGGGGACCGGUCUCUCAGGCAGGGACCGGUUCCCGAGAGCUACUUUCUCAGGACUUAGCCGAUUUUCCGGCUGUCUCAUUUCAUACGCAUUCGGGGACCGGUCUCUCCCACUAGGGACCGGUCCCCGAGAGCUGAAAAUCUGCAGUUUUGCAGAAUUUGAUUCUUUAGCUCUCGAAAACCUUCCACAACUCACUUUUGAUCAUUUUUAACACCUUCGGACUUUCCGAAGUGUGCCAUCCUCGCACUUUGGUCAAUUUGACUAAAGUUCGACAUUUAUUUUCCGAAUUUUCGGUAUAUUACAACAUCCGUAGCCUCGUUCCAGUGGAACAUCUCGAUAACCAGUCAAAAUUUUACAUUAGGAAGCUUUCAUGCACUCUUUUACCGCAUUUUGUAUUAUCGUCAAAGUCAAUGAAUAUUUUUAUACUAUAUUAAUAAAGAGAUCCCUUUCUUUACAUUGUUACGUCGUGGAUCUAAAUACAUCUGUAUAAUUUAUUAUUUUGUUGCACUGCGUUGAGCAUUAUUACACUAUUACAGCUAAUUUUGCACUAUUACUUCCGUCCAAUAUGCCAUUCUUUGGCUAUUUAACACGAUUAAAAAGUGCAACGCAUUGUAAACGAGCUCAACCAUGUUCAUUUAAGUGCAAUAAUAUCGUAGUAAUCGUUCAAUAGUUUAAAGUAAUGGUGGAACGACUCAAACCUUUUAUACAGUGCAACCUUUCCCGAGGAAACUUCGUUGUGUCCGCCGGUGUCCCUUCGCCUCACUUACCGGCCACCGCCAUCUUCGCUCACCCACUCGAGUAUAACGUUCACAUCAAUGUACUUACACUGUCGCAAUAUUUAAUGCGACUGGCGUGUGAAACGCUAUUCGCCAUUGCCGGUGUUUGCUGUUUGUUUCUCGCUAUUGUCUGUUUGUAGUGCUUACGUUUUAUGUUUUGUAUGGAUUCUUACGCUGUUUUCUGAAUAGGUUGGCCCAUACUAGCAUCCCACUAACUUUCAAACUGCUGUCGCUCCCCAUUACCCUAUUCUAAACCUUCACUGCGAAGCAAACUGCCUUGCAACCCCCAUAUUUCCUAGCAACCGCAUUGCUCUUUGUGACCACCAUCUUCUGCUUCGAAUCCCAUCGGUCAAGAAACGACCUAUCUAAAUCUACGUAGCUUGUAAUGGCGUCGAAGUCGUCGCAUUCUACUGAUUCAUUGGCUUCCGGCGGCCGCAAGGCACCUUCGCGGCCGGUUGCCGGCGGCCCCGCCGAUAGAUUCAUUGUGAAUUCGCGGUGUUUCGUCGGAGCAUACAGGAAGACUUAUGCAUCUGUCGUGAAGCCGCAUCAUCUCCCCGUUAUCCAACGGACGGUAUUCGGUAAUAUCUUACACUUCCCCGACAUCACCUCAGAUAGGCCCAUGCUGGAGUUAAUCCUCCGACAUUGGAAGGAGGGUGUAGAAUUCGAAAUAGGCCCUCAAGUUAUACGCUUCACAGCCAAGGAGGUGGCAGUUCUUCUUGGAUUACCCCUGUCGAGCCAGGCUCUAGACCUAACCCUCAAUUUAGGGUCGGAUAUUCAUAAUCAGUUUCUUGAGAGAAAGAAGGUCGACCGCAAGAACCUGGAGGUGAUGUUAAAGGAGAUGUCAAAUAAGCAGGGUGAAGAGGACAUUACCGACUUCGUCAAAUUACUUAUUGUUUAUUUUUUUUGUUGUAUUCUUUUCACCAAUACCAAUAAUCUCUGCCCCGAAAGACUGGUGGGGCUUGUAGAUGAUCUCCCCACACUGUCACGGUACAAUUGGCUGGAAGCAGUACACCGGCUUAUAAUUGACAGCCUAUGCUCCGCCGCGGCCAAAUUGCAAGCUAAUUCGAAGCGGGUAGGAUACGUUCUUGGAUGCACCCCGCUUCUCCUAGUAAGUGUAUAUUGUUCAAGUAAUCGUGCAAGAUAAUUAUUAUGUGUUUUCAAUCGUUCAUGCGUGUACAGAUUUGUAGUGUAAUCGUGCGAAAAUAAUCUAUUGUAUGCUUAAAUCUAGUAACUGUGUAAUGUAAUAUACCGAAAAUUCGGAAAAUAAAUAUCGAACUUUAGUCAAAUUGACCAAAGUGCGAGGACGGUACACUUCGGAAAGUCCGGAGGUAUUAAAACGAUCAAAAGUGUGUUGUGGAAGGUUUUCGAGAGCUAAAGAAUCAAAUCCUGCAAAACUGCAGAUUUUCAGCUCUCGGGGACCGGUCCCUGGUGGGAGAGACCGGUCCCCGAACGCGUAUGAAAUGAGACAGCCGAAAAAUCGGCUAAGUCCUGAGAAAGUAGCUCUCGGGAACCGGUCCUUGUCCGAGAGACAGGUCCCCGAGAGACCGGUCCCCCAAAGAGAGACCGGUUGCCCUGCGCGCAGCAACUCUGGCUGCGCGGAGAGAGCCUUCGGGAACCGGUCCCUGAAGGAGAGACCGGUCCCCGAGCCCGAAAUCUGCCCAGUCCAGGCAGUUGAAUAAGAUGAAAGUUGAGGGGUUUAUUUGCAUUUUUGCAACCUAUGGGUUAUGUAGAGGGCUGAGAGAGCCUUUUCUCUCAUUCUCUCCCUCACACACACUCCCUUCUCUCCCUCUCUCUCUCUAGAAGACAAAGGAGAAGAGAACAAAGAAAGAAAAGAAGGAAAAGAAGACAAAGAAGGUGAAGAAGAAGCUUUUGGAGCAAAGAGGCUUCAUCUCCUUCUUCUCUAGUGCAAGAAAAUGAAGCUUACAAGGUAAGCUUUGAACCCUAAUGUAGUAAAACCCUAGAAAUGGGUUUGAAUGAACCUAGAAAUGGUUUCUAAUGGAAUAUCUAGUAGUUUGAAGCUUUCUUUUUGCUUCUUUAGAGAUCAAAACCAUGGUUGAGCUCAAGGUGAGCUUCAACCCACCUCUAAUGGUGAAAUCUAAUCUAGGAUUUUGGAAAGCCUAAGAAUGGUUCUAAUGGACUAUUUAGAGUAUAUUGAAGCUACUUUUGCUUCCCAAUGAGAUCAAACCCUAGGUUUUGAUAUACAUGGGAGCUAGGGCACCCAAAUUGGGGCUUUUGCUCAUGAGGGUUUCUAAGUGCAAUUGGCCCUCUAGAAAUCUAAUUGGGGGUAUUUCCGACGCGUUGGUGCGUUCGAAUUAACGUUACGAAAAGUCUAUAGAAAGAUAUGGGCAAAAUAGCCUAAGUUGGCUUCGUUUUGCCGCAGGUGAAGAACGAGGAGCCUAUAAAUCCCAAGAAAAUCGUCGGAGCACCUAAAUAGACCUACGAGGUGGGUGGUGCUUCUCAAACUCAUUGAACUUCUCUCUAUGCCUAAUGUGUCAUUCAUUGAGCAUGUGUAUAUAUAUUGUUGCAUGCAUUUUAGGUAAAGUAAUGAUGAAAAUGUGAUGUUGCAUGAUUGUGAGUACAACUUGCAUAAUAUGAUGAAUAAGAACUAUGUAAAUGUCAAAAACCCUAUGUGUAUGCAUGAGAGAAAAGUGAGCACCCAAGGUGAGCAAAAGAACAGAGUGACACAAUGACAUAGAUCGAGUGGCAUUUGAUAAAGUUAAAGUGAAAUGACACUAGAGAUAGUGUGAGGUAAAGAACCAAUGUAAUGUAAAGAAUGACGAAAAUGACAAUAUGUAUAAAGUUAAAGUAAAGUGGGGCAAUAAGAACAAGAAAUGUAAAGAACAAGAAUGUUAAAGAUGGCAAAAGUAAAAGAAAAGUAAAGAACAAUGAUUGCUAGAGUUAGCAACAUAAAGUGAUGAAAGAACACUAGAGCUAGUGUAAAGUCAAGAUUGAACUUAUAAAUCCUUUGAGUUAAGGAUAUGAUCAUACUUGCUAUGAGUUCCGUGCUCGAGGGCGGUCGCUCCCCCUCGGGCGAUGCGCUCCGGAGUUAUGCAUCACGGGUUGGAGUAAACCCGAAGGACGGUCCUAGCGGGUGAGUUCCUGCGAUGAUGGACUUAAUGUGAAGCAAGUUAAUGUGGCGAAACCCCCGGGUUAGCCUUGAGAUUAAAGAAUAAAGAACAAAGAGCAAAGAACAAAGAACAAAGUGUAAAGAUAAAGAACGAAAGAAUUUGCAUAAUCUGCAUAUGUUAAUGUUGAGCAUAUUCCUUGCUUUUGUUCAGGCAUAUUAGCAUCAUGUUGUAGAUUGGUUACUAUAUUUCAGCUUAUCCUUUCUAUUAUGCCUGAGUUAGUCCUAGUGGGAAAGUCGGUGAUGUUGAGGCCGAACCCACUGGGAACUUUGUUGUAGUUCUCACCCCACUAUUUCCACAGAGCCGGGACCGAGUGAGCCGGCGAGCGACCGAGGUAAAGGUAUCGCGCCUUAGACAGAGGCCACCAGAAUUGAGUUGGGUUUGCAUUUUGAUAGUGGCUACCCUAUGUUCAUCUUCUGUACGUGAUGAUUAGUAAUGUAAAGAAAAGAAUGUAAUGUGUAUUUUGAGGUAAAUGUGAUGUAAGAAAGAAAUGAUGAAAUGAUGUAAUGAAACGCAAAGAAUCCUAAAUGUAAGAAAUGGAUGCAAUGUAUAUGAUCUAAAAUGAAUCAUAUUACUUGUGUAGAAGUUUAGUUUUCCUAUCUUUCACUAAUGGCUAUUGCUUACCCUCGUGUAAGCCGUUUAUGUAUGUUUCCGCUAGUGCAUUUCUCGUUGAAUUUGUACGUGUGAUGAGCCUUGGGCGGAUAGGGGAAACUCUGUCCGUUCGGCGUCUGUUUGACGUGCUCGGGUCGGGCCAAAUUGGUAUCGGUCCCGGGGCGUGACAGUGUAAACUCUAGUGUAAUAUUGUCUUUGUAUUCAGGUGUGGAUAUACGAGCACACUGGAUAUAGAUGUCCCCUGCCUUCCCAUCGUGCAAUAUUUUCUCGUGUCCAGAGGUGGGAUACGAUUAGAUGGUCUCGUCGUUCGCGGGGAUCAUCGAGAGUGAAGGAAGAUUUUAACUUCACUACAUGCUGCCGCAGGCUUGACCUCUCCCCGGAGGAACUACGCCUGGUGGGUGUCGUGGCUCAAGUUCCACGGCGCCACCGCCGCCCCAGGAAUGAGGAACCUCCGGGGGGUUAUAAAGAGGUGAUGGCGGCAAUUAGCCGUCUGGAGUCCGUGGUGUUCAGUCUUGCCACCUCCGUUGCCGGCAUACUGAGCAAUCCGGCACUCCUACCAGCACCAAAAUCCACCCUGGCACCUAUUGGAAGUAUCAAAAGCAAGAAGAGGAGACAUGAAGGAGUGCAAAUACCAAGCCCUCCACCGUCUAAAUCAUCUAAGCGAUCGACACAGGGAGCUAAAAAAGGAAAGAUAGGAACGUCCAUAUUGGCGAUGCCCGCACCGAUCUCGGCCAUUAAGGCGAAGCCCGAAAUCGGUAAAGAACGGUCGAGAUCUUCUUCGAAAUCUAGAAAGGAUGGGGCACGCCAAAAACUAGAGAGUCCGCCAAAGGCUCCCAAGGACUCUCGUAAAAAUCGCACGCUGGGGAGGGGCAAACGAUUUCGAAGCCGUACAAUCUCCGACCUCGCUGGGGAUGAAAGAAUAAAGCCGACGACCCAAUUGCCGACGUAUGCGACGUCCUUAUUAUUUUACAUUCUCAACAAACGAUUGAUUCUAAUAUGGCAUCUCCAUAAUAGUGUAACUCUACAAGACUUGGAUUAAUAAAAUCAUGUUUUAGUUCUAUAAUUGUGUAACCUUUAUUAUAAUCGUGCAUCAUAUUUUAGAGUAGUGUAACAUAGAACACAUUAUUUAUAUGCAGGUCCCCCCACCGAGACGGAGCGUCAAGUCACAAUCGCCGCGCCCGCUCAAUAUAUAUGAAGAAAAUAUCGAAGAAAGCGACAGUCGAACAGCGGGACUCUUCGCCAGCGAGUCAGUUUUGCAUAGAGAUGAAGUAUGUAAUAGUGUAAGUUGUAAUUAAAUAGUGUAAUUCCUAACGAAUUUGUUUAUGUGAUGUCAAAUAUUUUUUGAAAAUGUCAGCUGAUGGACAUCGUCAUCGAAAUAUGUGAAGACAUCCAACCGUUAUCUUCACUACUAGAGGUGCCGGCGGCAGAGGAAAAGGGGGAGGAGGAGGCCGCGGAGAAAGCGGCCGCCGAGAAAAUUGUGGAGUCGGCUGUUGGGGCGGUGGAGGUGGAGGUUGCACCAGUGACAGCGCCGGCGGCGGAGGAUGCAUGCUCUGAGGAAAAGUUGGAGGCGGCGACAGCUCCGGCGGAGGAUGAAGAAAAGGAGGAGGUGGAGGCUGCACCAGUGACAGCGCCAGCGGCGGAGGAUGCAGGCUCUGCGGAAAAGGUGGAGGCGGCGACAGCACUGGCGGAGGAUGAAGAAAAGGAGGAGGUGGAGGCUGCACCAAUGACAGCGCCGGCGACGGAGGAUGCAGGCUCUGAGGAAAAGGUGGAGGCGACGACAGCUCCGGCGGAGGAUGAAGAAAAAGAGGAGGCGACGGCGGCGGCGGAGCAUGUGGUUAAGGAGGCGAAGGCGGCGGCUGAUGAUGUGGUAAAGGAGGCGAAGGCGGCGGCGGAGGAUGUGUUCCCGGCGCCUACCCACACUGCGAAGUCUUCCAUGCCGGAACCCAGCACUAUACCGGUAUGUGAAUAUUGCACUAUUAUCGAUCUUUAAUGCGAUUUAGCUUAUAAUAGUGUAAUAAGGUCCAGUAAUGGUGUAAUUCAUUGAGUGUAACAGCUUAUAAUAGUGUAAUAAGGUCCAGCAAUGGUGUAAUGCAUUGAGUGUUUAACUCUUUAUUUGAUUUCUAUACAGCCCCCAAUAAUUAUCGACAUCCUGGAGUUGAAAGAAACGUAAAAAAAACAAAAGGCCCAAAAACUUAAAUUGAAGGUACCAUUAUCUUCAGCUAAUCGGGAUUUAAAAUACGACGGCAAGGGAGAGUUACCAAAGGAGGAUCAAGAGCGAAUUGAAAAAUUCCUGACAAGUACCAAUACCGAACCAGUAAGAGUGCCUUCGAAGGGUAUUGACAUCGGGAGGAUUGACUUCAUUGACCUAACAAGUCAUAUGGCCUUUGUCAGCUCUGAUAUUAUCGACGCCUACCAGCAUUUACUGGAGUAGGCAGAAGGCCACAAGUGCAUAUACACCACGUCCUUCCUUUGUCAGACAAUAGGAACAUCAAUGAACCCCGCCGAGAUGUUUUUGCAAGACAUCAACGAGGAGGUGAUUACUGGGGCAAAGUACUGGUUCAUCCCACUCUUCCACUCCGACCACUGGCAUUUGCCAGCGGUCGAUCUCCAAGCCGGAAAGUACAUCCACCUAUCGUCCAUUAAAAAUCCUAAAUACAACGCUGGGUUUGAGACAGCGGUAAGUAUUUUCUUUUUAUAUAUAUAUAAAANUAUAUAUAUAUAUAUAUAUAUAUAUAUAUAUAUAUAUAUAUAUAUAUAUCGUCCAGUAAAAACCAGGCUUUCUAAUUAGUCCAAUGUUUUCUUAUGUAGUGUAAAUACAUAGGUAAUUUUUUGCAAAAUAAAUUUUUCGAUUUGUUUCUUCGCCGCGGUACCCGUCCAGUCGACUGGGAGAUGAUCAACAGGGAUGACAUCCCGAUGCAAGAUCAAUCAAAUGAUUGCGCAAUCUUCCUUUUAACAUACGAAGAAUACUUGCAGAAGGGGUGGAACUUGAACUUCUCCCAGAAAGAUAUAACGAAGAAACGCGAGGAGAUAACAACAGAAUUUUUGCGGCAUUUUUACUCACAAUAAUUCUAGCCUUAUUCAUUCGAUUAACAAAUCUUUAAUUUGUAUAGUCAAUUUAUUUUUAUUGACUCCAUCCGUGUAACAGUGCAAUGUAAUGUACAUAAUGGUGCAUUUUAUUGUAAAAGUGGUGUAAAAAAAUUCAUCUUAUAUUAUAACGGUGCAAUGUAAUAGACAUAAUAGUGCAAUUUUUUGAAGAAGUGGUGUAAAAGAAUUCAUGAUGAUUGUAACGUUGCAAUGUAAUAGACAUAAUAGUGAAAAGUUGUUAAACGAAUCCACUUGUAUUCUAACGGUGCAAUGUAAUUGUCACGCCCCGAGCUCCGCCGAUUUGGUCGGAUUCGAGCACAUGACAGACGCCGAACUGACAGUACCUCCCCUGUCCGCCCAAGGCUCCAACAACAAGUAUAAUACAAGCAAAUCAACAAGGAGAAUUGCGAGAUAUAUUAGGUUUGCACGAGGGCAAACAACAACCACAGUGAAAGCAUCGAACUAACUAAACAUCCAACAUACAUGUCAUUUGAUCUCAUUUGAAUCAAACACAAGUAGUCAAACACAUUUACAUUCAUUACAUUAUUCUUGCAUUACCCAAAAUACAAUUUACAUUACAUCACUUUUACUUUACAAUUUCAACAUACAAAAGUUGAAUACAUCAAGAGUAGGGUAUGCCUAUAUAACUCCGGGGUCGCUAUCUACGGCGCGACUCCCUUGCCUCGAUCCUCCGCCGCCCCGCUCGCAUAUGGAUCUGCAGGGUUAGUGGUAAUGAGAACUAGAACGAAGUUCCCAGUGGGUUCGGCCGCCGACCACGCCGAUUCGCCCACUAGGUCUAAUUCAGGCAUAUGUAUUUCAAUAAAGAAGAAUAACAAACCAACUAAUGCACUUCUAAUACAAUGCCUGCAAAAAAACGAUUCACAGAUAGAUAUUCAUAUUCAAAUACAUGAUUAUUAUGCAUGCAUGUUCUUUUCACUUUCCUUUGGCCUUUACCAAAUCAACCUGGGGUGCUCCUGGUUUACCCCAACUCACAGUCCGCACAUCCAUCUAACGGGGGAGGCACAAGGCACAACCACCCGAAGGAUCUUCGCUGGGCACGUCCACCCGUGGUGCAUUUCUUCUCCGGAGUACACCGCCCGUGGAGGAGCGACCUCGCACAAGCCGGAACCAAUACAUGUGAGUAUGAUCCCAUCCUCAAAUUUGAGGAGGUAUGGCCAACCUGUCACUGUCUCAAGGCCGAUGAAUGGUUACAACCUAUUCAUGCACAUACCGUCACUUGCCAAUGUCAUGGUGGUCCUAAUGCCACAAUACACAUAAUGUCACUCUGGUAAAACCUUGUUUAACUAUUCACUCAUCGAUGUCAAUCGAGUCACUAAUGUCCAUGUCGCCUUUGUUUACUACGGUCACAGUCAUUUCUUACAUUCACAUGCAUAUAGGGUCUUUCACUAUUCUUGUUCACAUGUUUCUAUAUCAUUACAAUAAUCUCACGCAGAUAAUUGUCACAACCAACAUAUACUGUUCAUUACCCUACAUGCAAGAAUGCCAUAAUCUCAACAUGCUCAAAGAAAGGAUAUAGACAUAGAAAGAGAUCCGGUAUUUCCGGAUAGCACCCCCCACCUUUAUGUGUCACAAGGAUGCCACGAUUCUGAUUCCACGAUUUUUAGGCUUGUUCGCCGCGAGCUACGGCGAUCUGUACUAUUUCAACUUGUUUUCUCAAUAUCUUCGCGCACGCUCGUCGUAUCGCCGAACCGAGCGCACCGACGCGUUCGUAGACCUACCAAUUUGGUUAAAAUGAGAUCAAAUCCAAGUUUGAACCUCAAAAUUACAAAAUCCUAAAUAUAGGUCCCUCGACAAAGUCAUCUUCCCCAACAUAGGUCCUUACACAUGAGAAACUUGGGGAAAAUACUCUAACCCAUCUCCUAGAAGCACACUAGAAGGAAAAAUCCAAACUCUAGCUCAAAACCCAUGAGAACUCACCUUUGGAGUCCAAAGCUUCCUUCAAAAGCUUUGAUCAACCUUGCUCUACACCUUGGAGAGCUUCUUCUCCAAGCUUGCUCCUUCAAAUCCCCUCUUGGUCCAAGCCCUAAAGAGAGAGAGAGAGAGAAGAGAAGGAUUUUAGAGAGAGAAAGGGAAGGUUUUGAGAGUGAGAGUGAGAGUGAGAACAAAUGGUUCUCACUCAUGCCCUAGCUCAAAUAACCCUUCACAUGCCAUAUUUGCAUCUAAACCCCUCAACUUUUCAUUUUUACAAACAACCCUCACUGGGCAUUUUCGGGCUCGGGGACCGAUCUCUCCCCUUCAGGGACCGGUUCCCGAGAGCUACCCUGCACUCAGCGCAGAAGGGGACCGGUCUUCCCCUGAUGAAACUGGUCUCCGGGGACCGGUAUCCCGCCGAAGGACCAGUUCCCGAGAGCUCAGUUUCCAGGACUUAGCCGAUUUUUCCCUCUGCUUGGCUGAUCAACGUUCGGGAACCGGUCUCUCAUCCAAGGGACCGGUCCCCGAGAGUAAAAAUUCUGGAAAUUUUCCAGAAUUGCAGUUUCACUCUCUCGGGUCCCUUUAUACUUCAUAUAUAGGCUCCAAUACACUUUUAGCCUAUAGUAACUCAUUCCUUUCCGUGUUCCACUCAUUUCGACGGAACUCGGCACGAUUUACGGAAAAGUGAUAUGUUACAGUAAUAGACAUAAUAGUGCAAUUGAAUGUUUAAGUGCGGUAGAGAAUCCAUGUUGGAUUGUAACGGUGCAAUGUAAUAGACAUAAUAGUGCAAUUCAUUGUAGAAAUUGGUGAUUUGUUUACGGCUAUUACACUAUUUUAUUUCCAUUCCCAAACAUCGAAAGUUGCUUUACCUUCCUGAGGCGUAAUUCUCUUACAAUCCGGUAAUUAUAUGAGGCCCAUGCGCUAUACGCAACAGCGCCGUUUUAUGAAAGAGCAUUAAAUGCAAGCCAUUAAAGAGCCAUUAAUGCAGCAAGCGCGGGAAACGCAGUUUUAGGGCGACGAUAUUCUAUUCGCCAGAGCCAGUGUUUGCUGUUAGUUUUUUGAUUUUUUUAUUUAUAUGAUUUGGAAGUGCAGCAGUACUUGUCUCAAGGACUGAAGGGAAUAUAAAAUCUAAUGAUGUCACUGUCGAUAUAUCUUGUUGAGGUACAGUUGAAUAUGGCACAGUUACCGAAAUAACAUAUAGAAAUUGAAUUUGAAAUAUCAUUGCAAUAGAUAGCAUAAUAGUGUAACAGAAGUCAAAAUUAGUGCAAUACAACCGCAUAUGCAUGGUCGACUUGUCCAAAUGGUGCAAGGCUUGCGUCGUUUGGAAAAAAUUCUGGCGGAUUAGAAAUAAAUUUUGGCGGGAACAGAAGUAUUAUUUUCCGCCCCAUGCACAACUUAACAACUCAUGCACGUAAACUGGAUUAUAUUAUAUAUUGAUGAAAGAGUGUUUUUGAAUAACUUUUAGCUAAUUUUCUGUAUCCAACUCUUACAAGUGAUGGAUAACGCUGAAAUUCCAGUGCACUACAAUUUUAAUGAACGUUUUAAGGAGGAAGGAGGCAUUGUCAAUUAUGUAGGAGGGUCCAGCCGGCUCAAUUUCAUCAGGCAAGGCGAUAAUUUUAAUUCCCUGCAAGCAAUGUUCUGCAAGUACAUGAAUACUUCACAGGAAUCCUGCAAGAUCGAAAUUAAACUUAGCUAUAGUGGGAAUCUCAGCAAACUCAUUGACAUUGUUGACGACGGCGAUCUCGGAAACAUACGGAGACUCUAUAAAACCAACGCGUAUCUGAUGGAGCUUUAUGCUGUGAGUAACUUAGUCGAGAGAAAGGUUGCUACUUGUGAUCCCGAUGAUAUAAACGAAUUGCUUACAGACGAACAGCUGGAGCUGUUGAUUAACAGCCGUUCUGGGGAUGCAUUUACUCCUUAGCAGACACAUUUUGAAAAAGUUGGCUCGUAAGUUACACUAUUAUUUUUUUUGCACCAUUACCGAGCCUUAUUGCACUUGUAACCUCUUUAUUUUCAGCGGUUGCACUACUCUCAAUGCACUUUUGCACCAUUAUAUUUUACCUCAUUCAAUUGUAAGCAAUAUAUAUUAUACGAUUGCACUAUUACAUAAUUUUUUCAUUAUAUAUUAUUUUUAUGUUGCACCGGUUCGUAAUAUCUUGCAUCAUUACUUCGACCUCUUGCACCGUAUGAACUUUACACAUAAGGGUUCUUGUACUAUUUAAUAUUUACAAUGCACUCCUUGCAUGCUUUCACUUAUGGUGCAGAUCUUCUUAUUCUAUUCUCAUUGACGAUGCGGAAGCGGCAGACAGUGACGACGGUUUUAUUAUUGCUGAUUUGAAAGACGAGUUAGAUUCCGACGAAAGAAACGGUAUCGUCUCGACUUCUCCCGACGCACCUCAUUGGACAUACAGCGCCAUGGAUAUCCUCCCGUUGCGGCAAAGCGAUGUAAUAGGACUUACUGCUGAGCAAUUUGGCCACGACGAGCUUGAAGAAGCCCUCAUUGUAAACAGCUCUACGAUGGAGUCAGUUGUUGAUGUCGCAGAUGCGGACGAUGUCCAUGAGGGCCAGCUCUACAAGAUGCAAGGCGACUUCUAACGAGCUCUCAAAGCAUACGCAAUGAAAAGAGGUUUUGAGUACGCACCGACGAAAUGCAACGACCAUAAGAUAACCGCACGAUGCCACGUCUUAUAUUGUCCUUGGAGAAUAAAGGCGCGUCAAGUACCAGGAAUUGCUCAAUAGUGCGUGAAGAAAUUUGAUUCGCAACACACUUGUAGCAGGGCAAUAGGGAGAUUGGGCCAUAGGAAUUGCGAUGCGGCUUUUAUAACAGCAUUUGUUAGGGAGCAGGUGGUGGCAAACAAGAAAUACACGCCGAAGAUGGUUCAGACCGAGAUUCUUUGGCAGCACGGCGUAAAAAUUUCAUACCGGAAAGCCUACCGGGCCAGGAAUUGGUCCUUCAAGAGGUGCGCGGCGAUUUCGAGGGCUCGUUCGCUCUACUUCCCUCGUACAUGCAAGAGUUGAGGAGUGGAGAUGCGGAAACAUGUCUCCAAUUACUUUACCAGGACGAGGGUCGUUUUCAUCAUUUUUUCUGAGCUUCGGCGCAGCAAUUCGAGCAUUUAGGAAGCACUGCAGGUCGCUGUUGGUCUGGAUGGUACGUUAUUGCACUAUUACGCCACUAUCACAUCAUUAUUUUACUAUGUUGCACUAUUAUAUAAUAAAUUCAUGAAUGUAACACAAUUAUUUGCACGAUUACACAAUUAUAUACACGGUUUUUUAUUCUUACAGGAACCUUCCUAACUGGUAAGUUUAGAGGUUGUCUGCUGACGGCGUCAUGUAUUGAUGGGAAUAACUGCAUAUUGCCAUUGGUGUGGGCAGUUGUUGAAGGUGAAAAUUGCUAUUCCUAGCAUUGAUUUCUGGAACAGUUACGGGAUGGCGUCGUUAGUGAUCGCGACUCCAGUAGAGCAAACAGUGUACUUACUAUCGUUUCCGACCGCCAAAAGGGAUUGAUUGAUGCUGUAUCCGAUGUUUUUCCGGAUGCAGCUUAUGGUUAUUGCAUUUACCAUCUGUCUACCAAUCUCCCGCACGCGCCAAAGAAUACACCUGCGUAGAGAAGAUUUUGGGCGGCGGUGCGCGCAUACAUUGUCGCGGAGUUCAACAAAUACAUGGAGAAGAUUAAGGAGUUGAACCCCGAAUAGUACAAGUAUGUGGUCAAGCUUCCUCGGCAUAGGUGGGCUACCCAUUGCUUCCUGGGAAGGCGUUAUUCAAUGCUCACUUCCAACUGUGCCGAGACGAUAAAUAGUGUAAUUCGACAUUUAAAGGGCCUUCCAAUUACCUACCUCGUCGAGGAAACACGAAAGAAAACAGCUUGUUAUUUUUACCAGAGAAAACAUAAUGGGGAGAAUAUUACCAGUGUAGUAACACCCUAUGCAGAAAAGAUUUUAGGUAUUAUCGUUUAUUUUUCCCCAUUUAAUCAGUAUAUUACACUACUUAUCAAUCGGUUACAUGUAGUCAUUACACUAUUUGUCCCACCCUUUGGACUGGCUUGUUGUUUUUCAGGUAAUUGCAGCCGACUGUACGGAUGUUGUGGAUCUUUCCAAAAAGACAUGUUCCUACAAGCGAUGGGACAUUGACGGAAUUCUAUAUAAUCACGCCAUGGCAGCAAUUUCUUUUAGGCUACGGGAUCGGUAUGAUUUUGUCGAGGAAUGGUUCAAGACCUCGACUUAUCGCGCAACCUACAACGAUUGCGUCCCCUCCACCAGAGGCAAAGAGCAAUGGCCUGCAAUACCAAGUAACGUUGUUCCACCACGGCCGCAAAACGUCUGCAUACAACCGGGCAGAAGAAAGGUUUCGCGGCGAGAGUCUAUUGCUAACGACUUAAUAAAGAAGCGGUGCCGGAAUUGCCAGAGAUGGGGGCACAACAAAAGGUCAUGCAAGAACCCUCCUGUGACUAGAGCAAACCAGCCGCGCGCGACGACAUCCGCGGGCGCACCGCAGGAAACAUCGAAAAAUCCAUACGUCUUAUUGUAAUAGUUCAAGGCUAAUGCUAAUAGUGUACAUAUAGAUAAUUUGAUUAAGUAAAUUUUUGUAAUAGUAUAAAAUAGAAGAUAAUAGUUCAACAUAUUUAAAAAAUAGUGUAACGAGGAUCUCAAAAUUUUGACUGUUAAGUGAGGUUGCACUGGAACGAGACUACGGAUGCACUGUUAUAGCGGUCAUUGCACCAUUUAUACUGCAGUAGAACCUUCCCGUUGCACUAAUAUCCCUGCGCACAGAGGCGAAUUCGACACUGCGGCGGCGACGGCUAGAGGUAGCGCAGCGGCGGAUAAAGAGGUCGUGGAGCCUCCUCCUACUCUGCCCCGCUAUUCGACGACCCCCAUGUCCUUUCAUUUGCACAAUAGCUUAAGAUUACAUUAAGAAAUAAAAUAAGUAGGUUAUGGAGAGGUUGCACUGGAACGAGUUUACGGAUGCACUGUUAGAAGGGCGGUUGCACGAUUUCUCCUGUCAUAGCUCCUUUCUGUUGCAUUAUUAUCCCAAUUGCGUGCGUGCACUUAAUGUCAUUUAGCUUCAGAAAAUAUCUUAAAGUCUUAAAGCCGAACAGCAAACAGCAGGUACGGCGAAUAGCGGGGGGGAUGUCGUCCGUUUUCCAAGUAAUGAGCGAGGUUGCGUAAAGCGGAAGUGGCGCAUUUAAUGAGCGUCAGACAGUAUGGCAUGGUCCGAGUUCCGAGUAAUGAGCGAGGGAGGAGAGGUUGCGUAAAGCGGACGCGGCGCAUUUAAUGAGCGCCAGCCCGCGCGGCUUUUGUAUACGAGGGGUGAAAUGAAAUUUAUAGUUAACGAAGUCUUUAAGUGGUGUAACUAAGAUCAAAAGAGUUCAAGAUUUUCCAGUAAAGUGUGUAACAGUACGAUAUGUAGCACAAUUUUUUCACAGAAUUGGUGAUAACAUGAACAUAAUAGUGCAAAAAUGUCCGAAAUUUAUAUUAUACUAUGAUGUAAAUAGUGCAACAUUGUUUGUUAAAUAUUGUAACCGGUAAAUAGUGUAACAAAUUCGUAAGGAGUCGAUUAACAUGUGAACAAGAAUUACAUUAUCUUUGAAGCCGAGUACACGAUUUUAUAGUACUUUGCAAAAUACAAAUAAGAUUUGCAUACAAUGUAACCUUCUAUUACAUCAACUAUAACAAACUUUUCAUAAUAAUUAAUUAAGAAAAGUAUGUAAUCAUCAAAGUUUCUCUGCAAUUCCACACGCACAUAGCCGACGCUAACAGGUAUAGGCCAGGGAAGACUGCCAAAGGAGACUGCGAUGAGGAGGAGACUGCCGAAGGAGACUGCGAGGAUGAGGAGGCUCGUUCAGAAGGGUAGAUCCAGCAACGAGGCACUAAGAUUGAUUUGCACUAUCUGGAGUGCUUUAUAUGCCUCGAGCCUUUUGGAGCUCCGCUCUACCAUGAAACAGACAAUUCAAUCAGCAAAACAUAAGAAUCCAUCAAUAACAAUAAAGAUAUGCAAGAAUUUAAGAACCUGUAUGAGAGGAGGGCCAAUGGGCUCGUGGCAAAUAAAGCACUCCAGAUAGUGCGAAUCAAUCUUAACGCCUCAUUGCUGGAUGGUACCCUUCCGAGCGAGCCGCCUAUUCCUCGAACGCUGCUUCAACUCUCUACCGUUAAUAGUGCAACGUAGGGUAAAAUAGUAGAACUAAGUUCAUAAGGGUGCAACGAUGUCAUCAUAAUAGUGCUAUGGAUUCAGCGAACAGCAAACACACGGUCUGGCGAAUAGCGUGGAUGAUAUACGCUCCCUGCGCAGGGCGCAUUUAAUGCUGCUAAAAGCACAUAGCGUAACAUGUACGUUAUAGCGUCCCUUCUGUGAGGCGAAGAGACACCGGCGGGUAUAUCGAAGCUGCCUCGGCAAAAGUAAAAGCACUAUUCAAACGUUUUUUUAUUUUUAUUUUGUUUAAAUAUGGCUUCUUCAGUUUCAUUCCGCGUAAAGGCGUUACACUGUUAUGACGAAUGUUACUCUAAUAUCGCGCCAGUAUUGCACUUUUAGAAGCUAUAUUACAUUAUGUUACUUGGCGUUCACUAUUAUUAGGGUCUAUCGUUGCACUAUUAUUAUACGAUUGAAUGAAGGAAUUGAUGUUUUUUAAGUGAUGUUACAGUAAUACGGCCCUUGAGGUGAGCAUUAGCCACUUUCUGUUCAUGAGAAAAACUAAUAUUUCAUGAGCAUUAAUAGUCGGUGACCUAAAUGGUUACGCAACCUACAAUACAAUAUAUAAAAGAGACUCUUUAUGGACUUGGGCAACCGGCAACGAGAAAACGGCGAUGAUGGAGGUACACAAGACGAGGGGAGAGAGCCGCAGGAGAGGUCGACAACAAGGAGGCUCGGUCGUAAGUGUACCAUCCAGCAAGGAGGCAUUAAGAUUGAUUCGCACUAUCUGAAGUACUGUGCUUUAUUUGCGACGAGGCACCACCUCUAUACCAGGUUCUUAAAUUCUUCCAGAUCUUUAUUCUUAUUGAUCGGUUCUAAUUUUUUUCUGACUAUACUGUCUCUUUACGAACAAUAUAGUGCCGAAACGUCAAUGCUAAAGUCCCUAGUGCAAAUAAAGCACUCGACAUACCCCUUCGAGCGAGCCUUCUCCUCUUCACCAUUUCAUCUUCCGUUAGAGGAACAGUAGCGUCUGCUCUGUGCGCGUGGAUUUGCCGGCUAGCUUUAAUGAUGAUACUAUACUUUUGUAAAAUGAAAGCCUACUUUUGUUCAAUAUUCAUGUUGAUGCGAAUGUUACAGUUGAUGUUGUGAACAUCGUAUUGUAUGCAAAACGUGUAUUAUAUGUUGCAUUUUCGUCAAAGACAAUGUAUAAUUUGCUUGUAUAUUAAUAAAAAGAUCCCUUUCUUUACAUCUUUACAUUCUUACACCAACGAUUUUUCUUGCAAUGGUUAGAGACUCAUUGCACCAUUUAGUCAAUUUAUUACACUAAUUGGUGAACUACCACACAAUUAAGUUUACAACGUUAAACGCAAUUUAUUACACCAUUUAGGAAGUAUGAUUUUUAAAGAGAUGUCUGACUAUUAUCUUCUUUAAUAAAUCAUGCGUUUUUAAACCAUUGCACUGGCUAUUAUCGGCGUUUAAACCAUUUUAAAGAGAUGUCUGACUAUUAUCGGCAUUUAAAGGUGCACUAUUAUUAUAUCCACCUCUCGAACGCACCCUUACAAGCUUAGUACGAGUCUUUUUCAAACCAUUGCACUGAUAUUACUACCGUAUUGCACUCUUACAAGUUUCGUUGCACUCAUUUUUAAAUCCGUUGCACUGUUAUUAAGACCGUAUUGCACUCUUACAAGCUUCGUUGCACUCUGUUGUAAAAUAUUGUUCUGUUAUUCACACCGCCUUGCACUUAUUAUAUAGUUAAAAGAACGCGUGAUCUUUUAUGAGAAAACUUUACACAAUCGUUAGCCGUUAUGUCGCGCCUCUCGAACUCCGGACCUCGCCGGCGACCGUCCAAACCCACCGCCGAGCUUCUCAGCACACCGACUCUUAUAUGGCACAUCGCCGACCGUCCUACCCCGCAGCCGAUCGUCCUGCGCCGCGGACGCUUCGCCUGCAUUUGGAGGGGACACCAUUCAUUUGCACUUUUAAGUUCAGAUUAUAUUAAGAAAUAGAGAAAGUAAAAUUUUGAAUGGUUAUGUAGAGGUUGCACUAGAACGAUGCUAUGGAUGCACUGUUAGAAGGGCCGUUGCACCAUUUCUCCUGCCAUAGAACCUUCGCGUUGCACUAUUAUCCCUGGCGCGCGGAGGUGAAGUCGACACGGCGGCGGCGGCGAUAAAGACGUCGUGGAGCCUCCUCCCACUCCGCCCCGAUAUUAUCGACGGCCCCCAUGUCCUUUCAUUUGCACUAUUAGCUUAAGAUUACAUUAUGAAAUAAAAUAAGUAAAAUUUUGACUGGUUAUGGAGAGGUUGCACUGGAACGAGGCUACGGUUGCAUGUUAGAAGGUUCGUUCCACCAUUUCUCCUGCCGUAGAACCUUCGCCUUGCACUAUUAUCCUUGGCGGGCGGAGGUGAAGCGCCACGGCGGCGGCGGCAAUAAAGAGGCGGUGGAGCCUCCUCCUACUCCGCACCCAGUGUUUGCUGUUCAGUCUCUUCUCCGACGCCUCUGCUUCCUGAAACCAUUGAACUAUUCUGUCAACCACAUUGCACCAUUACAAUCACAGUUGUAGUCUUUUACCCUACGUUGCACUGUUAGAAGGGCAGUUGCACCAUUUUUCCUGGCGUUGCUUCUUCAUGUUGCACUAUUAUCCCUGUUGCGGGGAGUGCAGUUUUUGUCAUUUAUCUUGAGAAAUUGUAUUAAAGUCUUAAAGCCGAACAGCAAACAGCGGGGCCGGCGAAUAGAGGGGCGGAUGUGGUUCAGGUUCCGAGAAAUGAGAGAGGUUGCGUAAGGCGGAAGCGGCGUAUUUAAUGCCCGCCAGACCGUAGGGUAGGGUAGUAUACGUAUGUCAAAAAAUACGCGGGCGGCUUUUGUAUACGAUGGGCAUUUUGGUCUGGCGGACGAAAAAGCGGACCGAAUCUGCAAAAACGAAAAAGGUGGCUUGGUUUUGCAAAAGCCCAAAAUAAGUUUUAUGCAAAAUGGCCUUGGUUAUUUAACCAGAUGUAAUAAUUUUAAUUAUCUUUGGUCAUUUUAAUUAAUUCAUUAAUAAUUUUACCAUAUUCAAUAAUUUUAAUUAUCUUUAGUCAUUUUAAUUUAACUAAGUAUAAAAAUUUGUAAUGUACCGAACUUUGGAUAAACUAAUAAUGUGCAGAUUAAAUCAUGCUAGACGUGAUUGAAAUGAAUUUUUAGAAGUUUAGACUGAGUUUGGAUUGAAUUCAAAUCAAUUCGGAUCGAAUUGGAGUUUCGAAAGAGAAUAAAACUGAGUUCUAGACCUUUCGGACGCCCGGAAUAGGGUUUCGAGCGCUCAAAAUGGUUUUUACGGCCCGAUGCAGUGCCCGGAAUAAGUGGAUUCAAAAGAGCAAAGUUUGUGAGAGGCCCACUUUCGGGCGCCUGGAUUGUCCUGUCGGCACCCAGAUCUUUUCGGAUAUCAUCUGAGGGCGUCUAGAACCCCUUCGGACUCCCAAUGCAAGAGCUGGAUUGCAAUGGACAAAAUAUUCCAGCGUCCAAAAUGCCUUGCAGGAACCCGAAACAUCUUUCGGGCGGUCCCUUGCGUGCGUUUGAAUGGUUUUCGAAUGCUCAACCGGGAGCGGUAUUACGUGAUGGAAUAAACAAUAUGUAAGGAAGUGAAUCCUCGAAAUCCGAGAGUUGAACUUCGACCAGAAUCGACUAUUUGUCGAGUAGGUACCCUUCGGAAAGGCUAAAGAUGUCCAAAACACAAAAGUGCUUUGGAGUCGAGUUCACGAGAGCAAGAAAUGUGAAAAUCUGCACCUGACAUAUUUUGCUCUCGGGGACCGGUCCCUGGCAGGGAAAAACCGGUCCCCGAACUGAGGGAUGCAGCAGCGCGCGAUGCAACCGGUCCCUGGGCCUGAGGGACUGGUUCCCGAACUCGUAAACUUGGGGAGGUCCCAAGGGACCGGUCCCAGGCUGAAAGAUAUGGAUCCCGAGGAUCUAAAAGGUAAGUAACACCUAGAGGGGGGUGAAUAGGUGUAAAAACGGCAAACUCGAAAAUCUCGAUGCAAAUAAAACAAAGUAGCGGAAAAUAAAACAGCACACCGAGAAUUUAACGUGAAAAAACUCCAAAUCGGAGGGAAAAACCCACGGGACCGAUCACGCGAAGAAAAUCCACUAAGAAAACUUGAGUACAAGUGAUUUUGACAAAAAUACAUGACUCAAUUUACCGAUUUCUUGUUGAUGGUGAUCUUCGCCGGUCCUCGAUCGAUAGGAAUCCACCAAUCGACCUUGCUGCAACUCCUCGCAGCGUCAACGCCUCAACUCCUCGAAGCGUCCACCGAAUCCUCGGCUUCACGCGAAAUCCACGCGCCGAACCUCCUUCCGGAGCUUGUAGAAUCGAAGAUUUGUGAUGAUUUAACCUUUGAAUACCAUAAGCUAUGAGGGUUCACCUUUAAUCAAAAAUCUACUUGAUUCUCGUAUGAGUUAUCGAGUAAAAACGAAGAAUCAAGCCGAUUGUUGAUUGUUAGAAACUCGUUAUGUGAAUCGAAGCAUUGAAACGGAAAAAAAAAGUUUCUAGGGUUUGAAAUCAGUAAAUAUUCAAAGCCUUAGAUUUUAGAUGACCCCCAUAACUUAUUUAUAUGUUUAGAAGACUUAGAAAUAGACUAGGAUUGCAAAAAGUCCUUUUUAAAAACCUGUGUCGUCCUCAGAGACCGGUCUUCUCGAGGAGACCGGUCUGUGAGAGACCGGUCUCUCAAGUGAGGAACCGGUCCCUCACUGCGUGACCAAAAUCACAACGUUCGGGAACCGGUCUCUCAAGCUUGAGACCGGUCCCUCGCUGCGCGACAGAAAUACCAAGGUUCGGGAACCGGUCUCUCAUCUCAGGGGACCGGUUGCAUCAAAGCUCACGCAGUGAGGACCUUAGGGGAACCGGUCUCUUGACCUCAGGGACCGGUCUCCAAGUCCUCAAACCCCGUCAAGUCCUCGGGUCGGGUCUCCACACACUCGGCGUACUAUCGAUCUCGCGAUCCAAUACGUGGCGUUCCACGCACUCGGGUCUAAUCUCGGACUACCGUCCUGACCAAAACUCCGCCCUACCUAUAGGUAUCAGGCCGCUGUCUCUCACAGCUGACUGCGCCUGCCCAAUGGGCCCAGGCUCCAUAGUCUACAAAUGGUCCAGGCACGGGUCGUCCCCAAGCACUACCCGCCAACGUCGUCCUAUACGACAUGCUCUACAGAGCUAUCAACUCUAGCGACUCUUAGGCACCUAGUGCGAACCACCAGCCCUGAUGAGCGAUCCAUGGCUCGCUUCAUACUUAGCCCUGCUGAAGUGCUACUGCCAAUUCACUCGACCGGCUGAAUCGAAGCCGUACCUCACGAGUAACUAUACUCGAGCACUCUACGCCUCUACGGCGUCUCAUACAAAUCCAGCAUCAGGCAGCUUAGCCUAUGCACACUGGCCACACGAGCAAUAACUCGUCCACCUCAAUUCGAGGUACUACUAGGCCCACAGGCCAAGCUCGGCGCUAAUCGACCAAUUUCGCAGCAGUGGUUCACCCCCGCUUUUCGAUCUAUCGAAUCCACACCCGAACUACUCUUAGAAUAUUCGGGUGUCCCCGAACAUCAAGGCUCAACUCUCACAAUUUCUAAUCUAUUGCAUCUAGAGUUCACUCACAAUCUUGAUUUCCAUUACGAGCCUCGUUUCCUGUUCAAAAUCAUCACUAGCCAUUUGCUAGUACCACUUGGCUUUCUACCUGCUCUAGCCGGCGCUACACUCUCAUCCUGCUAGCAUGCUCGGGUACCUACCGACCCGACCGCUUGGUCCCUACUAAGCAAUGUAAUAAUAGUAGCAACUGACCAAUGAUGAAUGCAUGCUAUGCUUUAACUUGAGAUCAUGCAAAAAUAUGCUUGCUCAAUAGCUCAUACCAGCCAUGACGUCGUCAGCACGGCAGGCCCCGCACCUCGGGUCGCUUAUCCAUGGCCACCCGGCGCUCGUCGCGAACCCUUUGGUUGCAACGUCCUCAACGGCUGCUCUCCUGACCGUGCCGUAGGUGGCAUACCCGCGGGCUGUCCCAGAGAAGAAUAGGCCGUCGCUAGUGUCAGGGCCCGGCUAUCACCUUGCGGACACUCGUCCCGGACAUGGCCCGGCAGCCCACACUUGAAGCACUUGCCCUCACGCUGUUCACACUGUUGUGGGAAAUGAGAGCUCCCACAAAUCACACAUCUCGCCGAGGACCGAAUGUGGUACGUCCCCGGAGCUCUAGAUCGAGAGCGCAUCCUCACCGAGGUCUGUUGGGAACUUGACUGACUAUCAUGUCCACUUACUAGCCAUCCCUUUCCCUUUUCCUUGUAAUGCUCCUCGCGCUUCUCCCGCAGGAAUGCAUUGCCUUGUUCUAUCCAUAAGGCCCGAUCUAGGACUUCAGCAAAAGCCUGCAACUUAAGUACCUGCACUGCAAGGUACAAGUCCGGCCGAAGCCCCCGCACGAAGCAGUCAGCCUUAUCCUUGUCAUCCCGCACCACGUUCGGGACACAAUGCACGAUACGGAAAAAUUCCCACUCGUACUGCUUGACUGUGCGACUUCCCUGCCGCAGCUUAAGAAACUUCUCUUGAAGCUUUCUCUUCUCGCUAUUGGGGAAAUAUGCUGAGAACAUCGUUCCCCGAAACUCUUCCCACACUAUAGGAGGGAGACUAGGCAGUCUAUCUCGCUUGACGCCUUUCCACCACACCUUCGCCGAUUGCUUCAGGUAGUGCACGGCUAGGUUUACUUUAUCUCGCUCCAACGUGUAUAGAUCCUCGAAGAGUGUUUCCAUGGACUCGAUCCACAUCUCAGCAACCCACGGAUCUGCAUUUUCUCCAUCGAAGGUAAGCGGAUCAAAUUUCUUGAAAGUCAUGAGGGCCGCUAAAGCACGCUCCCUUUCCGCCGCAACCUCUGGGCUAACAAGGGUCGGGUCACCCUCCCCCAACUGAAACGUCUCUGCUGCAAUUCCCGGCUGUCCUCGACCAGCCGCGACUGGUGCCGCCACCAGUCGAUCCAUAGUUUCUUGGAGUCGUUCCAUUCGCUCCUCUUGGCGCAUAGUAGCCUCCUGCUGCCGUUGCACCACAUCAGCUUGUUGCCGCAUCACUCCAAUGAGUGUGGCCAAUUGAUCGCGAAGCUCCGAGUCUCCGCUCGCAUCGGUUUGCUCAGGGGCGCCACUUGUCCCCUCCCGCGCCGAUCCGGACGAAGAUCGCCUACGCGGUGCCAUCAUUUUCUGAAACAGGACAGCUCGAUUAGCUCUCGACCAACUCGGGUCGAACACGAGACCACUAAUACCAGCACAAAAGCGAAUCAGGCGAAAGUCAAAUAAGGACGUCUAUUCUCGUCACUUGGCUUUAUGUUGUGCAUGCACAACAUAAACACACUCGGUCGAGAAUAAACCAUACCUUGAGUCUACCUCUAAUAUCUGUCUUAGAGGUUAUGACACAACCCAAUCCAUUACCUUUCGCCACAAAUCACAAGUCCUCGUCUCUCACGAGCCUUAUUCUCCUAUGGUUCCACUAUCCUAGGGUCUCCUAGGUCAUCUAAACCAUUUUCCCAUUUUCUACUUUAUUCUCUGAUACCACUUUAUCUGUCACGCCCCGUGACCAACCGCCAAUUUGGACCGCGUCGCGGCGCUGCUAACAGACCGCCAAACGGACCGGGAUUUUCCCUGUACGCGGACAGAGUCUCCCCUGUACGUUCUAGGCGUCACAAUCCAAACAAUACAACGAGUGUUCCAACUAGGAACAGAUAACAAUCCAGAUUGCAAAGGAAGUAUCAAAUACAUAAAACUAACGGCUAUUACAAGCAUUCAUUCACAUUCACUUAGUACACCUCAGUUCAGUUUACAUUUUUACUUCCAAUUACAAUCACAUUAUUACGUCAUUUAAUUUACAAGUUUGAUACGUCUUGGUUCUUGCCUUCUAGUCCCCUAAGCUAGACUGCCUCAGGGUACUGCUACCUCGGUCUCUGUGGUAGGGUGCUAUCUACUGAGCUACGCCCUCACCUCGCGCCACCGCGCUGCACAUGUACAACCUGAAAACACCCCAAAACCACGUGGGGUGAGAACCAACUCCAUGGUUCCCAGUGGGUACGGCCACCCAAGGGAAAAGCUCGACCGAUAGGUCCGAGGAGGCACUGCAACAUGUUAGUUCAACAAUAUACCACAGAUAUAUAUAUAUUCAAUUGAAAUACAUGCCAUGCCUCACAAUAUGCGACAUGAAAGCCAUGCAACUUUAUGCAACAUCUAGUAGAUCAUUUGAUUCUACACUUUACUUAGCUACUCUUGGCUCAUAACUUUACUCUAAGGUCUCCAUUACCUCAGGAUGUCAACUCAGUCCACUGGCUUCUAAGGUCUCUAUUACCUUAGCUCAAGCCUCUAUCUCUAGCUCAUAAGGGUUCUUCUACCCUAUCACAGCUAGCCACACGACUCGGCUCCGAGUCAAUCAUCCGCGGAUAGCCCGCCCACUGGCUGCUCAUCAGCCUACCGCCCUCUCUGUCUCAGCCCCCUAGCGGCGAAGUCAUCGCACACGCUAAGCUCGGCUCAAGUCGCACGACUUGACCAUCUGGUGGCGAUCGCGUUGCACUUACCCAGCGUGAGCUCGAGUCCUGACACAUCGUCUGGCGACGAACGAAUCGCACCACACCCAACAACGGUACAUGUCAGACUCAGUCACCUAGAGGCAUCCACAUCGUACUUACCCAGCAUGGAUUCAGUCUGCUCUGGCGGUCUGAUCCUCAAAUGGCUUAACCAUCCUGGCGGCGAAAUCGUCGCACAAACACUAUGGCAAUGGUUCAAGCCCCGGGCGGUGAUCUCCAUGUGAUCGCCCCCAAUCCUCCCUCGGUACCAAGCUCGGCGGCGAAGUCGUCGCACAACGCCCUAGCUUCUACCAGGGUCAUCACAAGUCAUGGGAUUCCAGAAUCCACUUUCCACAGGUCGAGGGUCCAUAGCCAACCCUAUACUUUCGACCUAUCUCAUCCUAGUGGCUAUACCACUAUACUCAUCAACCUAGGUUCCAAUACUCUAGGUUCUAUGUCCACGUCACUUAACCUAGAUACACUUACUAGGUUCUUGUCAUCUUUGCCUAGAUGUCCACUUCUAGGUUUACUAGUUCGACCUAGGUUUACUAACACUAGGUUCGAUGCCACACACCUAGAUUGUUCGACUCUAGGUUCACUUGUUUAACCUAUGUUCUUUAACACUAGGUUAGAUGCCACUCGAUCUACCUGACAACCUAGUUGUCCAAUCAACUCUACUCACACUAGAGUUAUUAACUCAUGCUUUCUACUUGGCAUUUACUCUAUGCAUCUGUUCCUCAUGCAUUCUAUUUAGCAUUUCCAUCUAUGCAUUACUAUUAGUAUGCAUUCUUUACAUUAGCUAGCAUCAUUUACAUGUCAUGCUUUCAUGCUUGCUACUUACCAUGCAUUCUUUACUUAGCCUUUACUUUAUGCAUUAUUAUUCAUCAUGCAUUUCUUGUCCUUGUCUACAUGCACAUGCAUCAACAUGGAGAUACAUUGCUAAGACAUAAAGGGCGACCUAGUCGUUUCGGUAAGUACAACCCACCUUAGCUAGCUUUUUCGAUUGCUCGUCGACACUUGCAAUCGGCCUCCCGCGGCACUCGGCACCCGUUCGGGCCCGAUCUCACAGUUGCUCCCCUCGAGCACGCCGCUUCGCCGUUUCAAGUGCUAGCGAUCUUCCCCUUGCCGCUACGGUGCUCGGGACCCGGUUUCACGAUUUAUGGACGUGGCCUCGACCUCCGAGGUGGAAAUGAAGCUUCGAGCGCCCGUUUCUUCAAUAUCUUCGCAAUGGCUUGUCGGAUUGCCGAACCGACUUCGCCAACGUGUUUCUUUACCUACCAAUUAGGUUUACGAAAGGUCAAAUGAGAUCAAACUCAUCUAUUUACAAAAACCCCAUUUUGAUGCCCUAGAAUGCCAUCACUAGCAAAUCCACCAAAUCGAUCUAGGAUUUGGAUAUAAUCCAUCAAAAUAGCCAGCUAGGGUACCAAACAAACCAUUUCUAGGGUUUAAAAACCCAUCUACAAAGAUCUACCAUGAGAGGGCUUGGAAGCUUACCUCUCAAAGAGCUCCAUGGAGAGAAGAAGAUGAAGAUGAAGAUGAGGAAGAGGAUCUCCUCCUUGGUCCUCUUCUUCUUUUCCUUUCCUUUCUCUUUUCUUCUUCUCUUCCCUUUUCACUUUUCUUUCUUUUCUUCUUCUCCUCCCUUGCACGAUCGGAGAGAGGGAGAGAGGCUGAGGGAGAGAGAGAGAGAGAGGAAAAGGUCUCUCUAAUACCCUCUCUCAUUUUAUAACAAAAUGCUAAGAAGCCCCCAACUUUUCAUCUUUUACCCAGCCCUCACUGGGUGUUCUACGCGCUGAGGGAUCGGUCUCCCCGACCAGGGCCGGUCCCCGAGAGCUCUCCCCGAUUCCACGCGUUCGGGAACCGGUCCCUCCCUGAGAGACCGGUCCUCGAGAGACCGGUCUGCCCACCAGAGACCGGUCCACGAGAGCUCAUCUCGCGGGACUUAGCCAAUUUUCGGCUCUUCUUACUGGUGCCGUAGGCCGGGACCGGUCCCUCUUCUGCCAGGGACCGGUUGCAUCAGCAAUCCCGCAGCCUUCAGCUGAUGGGACCAGUCUCUCACCUCCAGAGAUCGGUCCCCGAGAGCAAUCUCAGCCCAAAAAUGCAGAUUGCAUUAUUUGCUCUCGCGGACUCCAUUCCAAUGUAUUUCUCGGUUUUUGUGCAUCCUUAGCUUUUCCAAAGCUUAUCCAUUCGAUCCUUAGUCGAUUCUAGACGAGGUGCAACCCUCGGAUUUCGAGAGUUCACAUUGUUACAUUCUCCCGUCCUUAAAAGAGUUUCGUCCUCGAAACUCACUCAUUCUUACCCUCUUUUAUUCCUCGAUCCACUCCUCGAGUACUCAAGGGUUCCAAUGCACUUUUGUACUUCGGAGUGGCCUUUAUUCUCAUCGAACUCAUCUAAAGGCCCACGACGAAGAAUGUGAGACCACGUUUACUCACAUUUUCCUCUUGCAACAUCAAAAGUGCAUUAUCACUUUACAAACUUCACUGGCGGUGUGGGUCAGUAUUCAAGACCCCACACACUAACUUCACUAGCCACUCGGCUAGAGAAGGACCUAUUCCCUCGCGGUUCUAGCGAACAUCACCACCAUUCGAGAUCAGGGCUACCCUUUCAUCCCAGUGGUGUGGAUCCAGCAAGAUCGCAUCACUUCGAUGAAUGAUCCACCACCACAUCUCUAUAUGCACGGGUAGACUUUCUCGAAUUGCUCAAGUACCCACUAGGUGGCACUUUGCCACUUUGGCUAUUUGGGAGCCCGAUACCACCUUAUUAUCCUAUCUGUACCAUCUCGUUCUCAGCGAUCGCAAGACGGCAUCCUCUCGCGCAUCCCAGAUUCUCAAUCCUCUUGAGAGCAUCAUUCUCAACGCCAACUCUUCGCGUGGUUAUCCAUUAUUCAAGUGUCUCUUAGAGACCACUUUACUUUCCCUUUAUCUCUUGACAUUUUAGGCCACGUUCAUCUCCACACGAACUCUUCGUUUGCGGAGACUCGGAGCUUCGCGAUCAGCUGGUCACACUCGUAGGGGUGAUGAGGCAACAAGCUGAUAUGGUGCAGUGGCAGCAGGAGGCUGCUACAUGCCAGGAGGAGCAAAUGAAAAGACUCCAGGAAGCGGUGGAUCAGCUGGUGGCAGCACCAGCUGCGGCUGGUCGAGGACAGCCAGGAGUCGCGACGGAGCUGUUUCCGUCGGGGUCGGGUGAUCCGACUUCUAUUAGUCCAGAGGUAGCGGCGGAGAGGGACCAAGCUUUGGCUGCCCUCAUGGCUUUCAAGAAGUUUGAUCCGCCUACCUUCGAUGGAGAAGAUACGGAUCCGUAGGUCCUUGAGAUGUGGAUCGAUUCCAUGGAAACCCUCUUCGAGAAUUUGUACACAUUGGAGCGAGACAAGGUAAACCUAGCCGCGCACUAUCUCAAACAGUCGGCGAAGGUGUGGUGGAAAGGCGUCAAGCGAGAUCGACAGCCUAGUCUCCCUCCUAUGUCUUGGGUAGAGUUUCAGGGGUUGGUAUUCUCUACUUAUUUCCCCGAUAGUGAAAAGCGAAAGCUCAAGGAAAGGUUCCUUAAGCUGCGACAAGGAGGCCGCACGAUCAGGCAAUACGAGUGGGAAUUUUUUCGUAUCGUGCAUUGUAUCCCGAACGUGGUGCGGGAUGACAAGGACUAAACCGACUGCUUCGUGCGUGGACUUCGGCCAGAUCUUUACCAGGCGGUGCUAAUGCUCAAGUUGCAGACCUUUGCUGAAGUCCUGGAUCGAGCCUUGUGGAUAGAGCAAGGCAAUGAAUUCCUGCGGGAGAAGCGCGAGUCGUAUUACAAGGAAAAGGGGAAAUGACGACCAGUGAGUGGACAUGAUGAUCAGUCAAGUUCCCAGCAGACCUCUGCGAAGUCGCGCUCUCGAUCUCGAGCUCCGGGGACGUAUCACAUUCGGUCCUCGGCGAGAUGUGUGAUUUGUGGGGGCCCUCAUUUCCCACAACAGUGUGAGCAGCGAGAGGGCAAGUGCUUCAAGUGUGGGCUAUCGGGCCAUAUACGGGACGAGUGUCCGCAAGGUGAUAGCCGAGCCUUGACACUGGCGACGGCUUAUUCCCCUCCGGGACUGCAGGCAGGUGUGCCACCUGCGGCAUGGUCAGGGGAGCAGCCGUUGAGGACGUUGCAACCAGAGGGAUCGCGGCGAACGCCAAGUGGCCAUGGAUAGGCGACCCAAGUUGCUGUGCCUGCCGUGGCUGACGACGUCGUGGCAGGUAUGAGUUAAUUAAGCAAUCGUAUGUUUUUGCAUAAUCUCAAGCUGUUGCAUUGCAUGCAUUCAUCAUUGGUCUGUUACUACUAUUGUCACAUUGCAUAGUAGGGACCGAGAGGUCGGGUAGAUAGGCACCCGAGCAUGCUAGCAGGAUGAGGGUAUAGCGCCUGCUAGAGCAGGUAGAGAGCGAAUGGUACUAGCAAAUGGCUAGUAGUGAUUUUGGAUAGGAAGCGAGGCUCGCAAUGGAAAUCGAAUGGUGAGAGAACUCUCGAUGCAAUGGAUUAGAAAUUGCGAGAGUUGAGCCUUGAUGUUUGGGGACACCCGAAUAUUCCAAGAGUAUUUUGGAUGCGGAUUCGGUAGAUCGAAUAGUGAAGAUGAACCACUGUUGCGAAAUGGGUCAGUUAGCGCCGAGUUUGGCCUGUGGGCCUAGUAGUACCUCGAGUUGAGGUGGGUGAGUUGUGCUCCUGUGGCCGGUGUGCAUAGGCUAAGUUGCCUGGUGCUUGGCGUAGUUGGGACGCUGCAGAGGCGUAUAGAGCGCUCGAGUAUAGACACUCGUAGAGUGCGGUUUCAAUUCAGCCAGUCGAGUGAAUUGGCAGUAGCACUUUAGCAGGGCUAAGUGUGAAGCGGGCCAUGGAUCACUCGUGAGGGCUGGUGGCUCGCACUAGGUGCCUAAGAGCCUAUAGAGUGCGUAGCUCUGUAGAGCAUGUCAUGUAGGACGACGUUGGCGGGUAGUGCUUGGGGACGACCCGUGCCUGGACCUUUUGUGGACUGUGGAGCCUGAGCCCAUUGGGCAGGUGCAGUCAGCUGUGAGAGAUAGCGGCCCGAUACCUAUAGGUAGUGCGGAGAGUUUUGGUCAUGACGGUAGUCCGAGCUUAGACCCGAGCACGUGGAAUGCCACGUGUUAGAUCGUGAGAUCAGUAGUACACCGAGUGUGUAGCAACCCGACCCGAGGAUUUGCCGGGGUUUGGGGACUUGGAUGCUCCUGGUUGGAGUAUGUGCGAAUUCUCCAAUGAGAAUGUCGCUCGAUAAUGAUUGGGUCUACGCUUGCGAGCGAGAGACGCUAGGCGUCGUUGAGGCGAGUUAGGCGACUAGCCUACGUAGGAUUGGUUGUCUUGGUCCACCUGAGGAAAAUGAUGGUUGGUGUAGCCGGGAACUCUAUUUAUGAGUCGGGCUUAGAUCCGCGAAUGAAGAGUUCGUGUGGUGUUGGACGUGGCUGUGGGGUCGAGGACAAGAAAGAGUAAUGUGGUCUCUAGGAGACACUUGGAUAAUGGAUAGCCAUGUGAGGAUUGGAAUUGGGAGUGAGAUGGUACAGAUAAGAUGAUAAAGUGGUAUCAGGCUCCCAAAUAGCCAAGGUAGUGAAGCGCCACCUGGUGAGUACUUUGAGUAAGUCGAGAGGGUCUACCCGUGCACGUAGCGUGGUGGUGUUGGAUCGUUCGUCUAGUUGAUGCGAUCUUGCUAGGUCCACACCACAGGAAACGAAGGGUAGUCCUGAUCUCAAGGGAUGGUGGUGUUUGGUGAAACCGCGAAGGAAUAGGUCCUUUUUUAGCCGAGUGGCUGGUGGUGUUGGGGUGUGGAGUCAUGAAUAUUGACUCACACUACUACCGAGGUUUGUAAAGUUGUAAUGCACUUUCGAUGUUACAAGUGGAAAGCGUGAGUACCUGGUCUAACAUCGUUCGUAGUGGGCCUUUGGAUGAUUACGAUGAGAAAAAGGCCACUCUGAAGUGCGAAAGUGCAUUGGAACCCUUGAGUACCCGAGAAGUGUAUCGAGGAAUAAGAAGGGGUUAGAAAUGAGUGAGUUUCGAGGACGAAACUCUUUUUAAGGAGGGGAGAAUGUAACAAUGUGAAUUCUCGAAAUCCGAGAGUUGCACUUCGUCCAGAAUCAACUAAUGGUCGAGUUGGUAAGCUUUGGAAAAGCUAAGGAUGCACGAAACCCAAAAGUGCAUUGAAAUGGAGUCCGCGAGAGUGAGAAUGCAAAAUCUGCAUCUUUGGCAGAUUUGCUCUCGGGGACCGGUCUCUGGCUGGAGAGACCGGUCCCAUCAGCUAAAGGCUGCGGGGUUGCUGAGGCAACCGGUCCCUGGCACCAGGGGGACCGGUCCCCGCAGGUGACACCAACGAGAAUGGCCAAAAAUUGGCCAAGUCCCGCGAGACGAGCUCUCGGGGGCCGGUCUCUGGUGGCUGGACCGGUCUCCGGGGGACCGGUCUCUCAGGGAGAGAUCGGUUCCCGAAUGCGUGGAAUUGAGGGGAGCUCUCGGGGAUCGGUCCCAGGUCAGGGAGACCGGUCCCUCCGCGCGCAGAAUGCCCAGUGAGGGCUGUGUAAGAGAUGAAAAGCUGAGGGACUUAAUAGCAUUUUGUUACAAUAUGAGAGGGGUUAUUAGAGAGGUGUUUUCUCUCUCUCUCUCUCUCUCUCUCUCACUCCCUCACACUCUUCCUCACUGUCUCUCUCUCUUGCUCCGAUCGUGAGGAGGAAAAGGAAAAGAGGAGAGGAAGGAAAGGAAAUAAAGAAAAAGAGAAGAAGAAAAGAAGGAGAAGAUGGAGGAGAAGAAGAGGAUCAUCAUCACCAUCAUCCUCUUCAUCUUCUUCUCUACAUUGAAGCAAGCCUAGAGAGGUAAGCUUGGUACCCUUUCAUGGUAGAUCCUUAAAGAUAGGGUUUUGAUCUCUAGAAAUGGUUAGAAUGGAACCCUAGCAUGCUAUUAAGAUGGUUUUUCCCCAUUUCAUAGAUCGAUUUGGUGGAUUUGGUAAUAAUGGCAUUCUAGGGCAUCCAAAGAGGGUUUUUGUAAAUAGAUGAGUUUGAUCUCAUUUGACCCUUCGUAAACCUAAUUGGUAGGUAACGAAACACGUUGGCGAAGUCGGUUCGGCAAUCCAACAAGCCGUUGUGAAGAUAUUGAAGAAACGGAUGUGUACAGCUUCGUUUCCGCCUGGAAGGCCAAGGCGACGUCCAUAAAUCGUGAAAUCGGGUCCCGAGCACCGUAGCAGCAAGGCAAAGACCUUUAACUCUUGAAACGGCGAAGCGGCGUGCUCUUGGGGAGCAACUGUGAAAUCGGGCCCAAACGGGUGCCCAGUGCCGCGGGAGGCCGAUUGCAAGUGUCGACAAGCAAUCGGAAAGCUAGCUAAAGGUGGGUUGUGCUUACCGAAGUGACUAGGUCGCCCUUUAUGUCUAAGCAAUGUAAUCUCAUGUUGAUGCAUGUAGACAAGACUAAACUGUGCAUGUUAAUGGUAAUGCUAAGUAGAAAGCAUAAUGAACAAUAUGAUAAUGCUAGAUAGUGCGUGAAUGCACAAGUAGUUGAACAUAUAUAUAUAUGCAUGUAAACUAAAUGAUAACUCUAGAAAUGUAGAGUUGAUUGGUAAUGAGACUCAAUUGGGUAACUAGGAUGUCAACUAGAUCGAGUGGCACCUAACCUAGUGUUAAAGAACAUAGGUUGAACAAGUGAACCUAGAGUCGAACAAGUCUAGGUGUGGCAUCGAACCUAGUGUUAGCAAACAUAGGUCGAUCUAGUUAACCUAGAAGUGGACAUCUAGGUAAAGAUGACGAGAACCUAGAGAUUGUGUCUAGGUUAUAUGACAUGAACAUAUAACCUAGAGUGUUAGAACCUAGGUUGUUGAGCAUAGUGGUAACAGCCACUAGGAGGAGCUAGGUCGACAGUAUAGGGUUGGCUAUGGACCCUCGACCUGUGGAAAGUGGAUUCCGGAAUACCAGGACUUGUGAUGACCUAGAUAUCAAAUCUAGGUCGUGUGCGACGACUUCGCCGCCAAGGUUGAUACCGAGGGAGGAUUGGGGGCGACCACAUGGAGAUCACCGCCCGGGGCUUGAACCAUUGUCGUGGCGUUUGUGCGACGAUUUCGCCGCCGGAUGGUUAAGCCAAUUGAGGAUCAGACCGCCAGGAUUGACUGAAACCAUUGCUGGGUAAGAACGAUGCGUGCGCCGCCAGGUGGCUGAGUCAUGACUUGUACCGUUGUUAGGUGAGGUGCGAUACGUUCGCCGCCAGAUGGUUAUUUCAUGACUCGAGUCCUCGCUGGGUAAGAACGCCAUGUUCGCCGCAAGAAUGGCUAUGUCAAGUGACUCGAGCCGAGUUCAGUGUGUGCGACUACUUCGCCGCUAAGAGGCUGAGUUUAGAGGGCAGCAGGUUGAUGAGCAGCCGGUGCGUGGACUAUCCGCGAAUGAUUGACUCGAAGCCGAGUCAGAUGGUUAGCUUCGAUAAGGUAGUGGAAACCCUUAUGAGCUAGAGAUAGAGGCUUGAGCUAAGGUAAUAGGGACCUUAGAAGCCAGUGGACUUGAGAGUGAACCUAAGGUAGUAGAAGCCUUAGAGUUGAUGAUAUGAGCUAAGAAUAACCAAGUAAAAUGUAGAAUCAAUUGAUCUACUAGUUGUUGCAUAAAGUUGCAUGAUUUUCAUAACGCAUAUCGUGAGGCAUGGCAUGUAUUUCAAUUUGAAUAUAUAUCUGUUGUAUAUUGUUGAACUAACAUGUUGCAGUGCCUCCUCGGAUCUAUCGGUCGAGCUUUUUUCUUGGGUGGCCGUACCCACUGGGAACCAUGGAGUUGGUUCUCACCCCACGUUGUUUCGGGGUGUUUUCAGGUUGUACGUGUGCGGCGCGGCGGCGCGAGGUGAGGGCGUAGCUUCGUAGAUAGCGCCCUACCCCGGAGACCAGAGCUAGCAGUAUCCCGAGUCAGCAGGGCCUAGGGGUUAGAAUGGAAUGACGACAACCAACUUGUAUUAAACAUAAUAACGUGAUUGUAUUUGGAAGUUAAGCAAAUGUAAAAGAAAAAUAUUAUUUGAAAUGAAUGCUUGUAAUAGCAGUUAGUUUUAUGUUAUUGGUACUUUCUUAUGCAAUCUGGAUUGAUAUCCGUUCCUGGUUGGAACAUUCGUUGAUUGUUUGGAUUGUGACGCCUUGGACGUACAGGGAAAACUCUGUCCGUUCGGCGGUCUGUCGGCGGCGCCGCGACCCGGUCCAAAUAGGCAGGUGGUCGCGGGUCAUGACAGUAUAAGCUUCGGAGAGUCCGGAGGUAAUUAAAAUGCAUAGAGUGCAUUAAGGAAGAGUCCGCGAGAGCAUUAGUGCAAAAUCCUCACUGGAGCAGAAUUGCUCUCGGGGACCGAUCCCUCGCAGGGAGGGACCGGUCCCAUCAGGCUGGGCUGGCGGAGAUCCUUGAUGCAACCGGUCUUUGGCAGGUAAGGACCGAUCCCCGAACGUUAACCCAGCGAGAGAAGCCGAAAUUUGGCUAAGUCCCGAAAAUCUAACUCUCGUGAACCGGUCUCUCGGACAAGGACCGGUCACCCGGGGUGGUCUCUCAGGCAAGGACCAGUUCCUGAAUGCGAAAUCCCCUCUGCCCGAAUAGGAGGCUCUCGGGGACUGGUCUCCCCGAGCUGGGACCGGUCCCUCACUGCGAAAAUGCCCAGUGAGGGCUGCUGCAGAGGAUGGAAAAGUUGAGGGGGCUAUGUGCAAAAUGGCUUAUAUGAGAGGUGGGGGACCCCUCUCUCCCUCUCAUUUGCUUUCUCUCCCUCUCACACUCUUUCCCUCUCUCUCUAGAAAGAAUAAAAGGAAAAGAAGAAGAAGAGGAAGAAGAAGAAGGAGAAGAAGUAGAGGAAGAAGAAGGAGAAGGCUAAGAAGAAGUAGAAGAUCAUCUUCUUCUCUCUCUCCCUCAAGCUUGAAGCUUUGUUUAGAGGUAAGCUCUAAACCCUUUAAUGGUAUUUCUAGGGUUUGGGAUUUUUGUUGCUUAGAGAUGGUUCGAAUGGAACCCAUCGAGGUAAAGGAGAUGGCUCAAGCUUGAAAUUGAAGCUCACACUACGGAUUUCCUCACCGUUGCCAACCUAGGACACGGAUUUGGGAUUUUUAGAAAUCUAGGGUUUUGAUCUAUUUUAUUAGGUCGUAAACCUAAUUGCUAAGUCUUCGAACGCGCAGGCGAAGACGGUUUGUCGAUCCGACGAGCGAGUGCGAAGAUAUCGCCGAAACUGAUACUUGAGGGUUCGCUUUGCCUUGAGGUGUUGAAGCGACGUACGAGGACCGCGACGUCGAGUUGUCUAGCCACGCGGCACUACCAAAAGGUGGGGGAGUGCCAUCCUGAAGCAGUCGAGCUGCUUUCUAUGUCUGAGUUAUUGUGUUGAUCAAUUACAUAUUAAACAUGUGGCAUAUAGGGAACUAAGUUAUUUAUAUCUAUAUUUGCAUGCUAGUGUUAAUGUGGCCUAGUGAUAUAGCUCUAGAACCUAGUAUGCAUGAGCCGGAUAUGAGGUGGUGAACCCUAUAUGUGUUGGAUGUACAUGUAGCUAUGAAAACCUAGUACAUUGUGGACUAGAGUAUCGAGAACUUGUCAGAGAACGAGUGGCAUCUAGUUAACAAUGAACACAAACUAUUGGCAUCUUGUUGAUAUUGAACAUAAGAACCCUAGUGUAGUCAAAACACUAUGAGCUUGGGUAUUGGGAUGCUUGAUUCUAUGAUGACACCAACCUUAGUUGGUAGGACCAGUUCGUGAGUUCAGAUUAUACUCACAUAGCCUGUCUGCACUUGUAGGGGUCGCUCCCCAUAGCCUGUGCACUCCGGAGUAUUUGUCACUCGAGGGGCAGUCGCCAUGCGCUGCCUGGACAGUCAGUGUAUCUGUCCGCAGGCGGUCUCGGGGAAUAGUUCAGCGAGGCUUUUCCCUAUGAGACUUAUAAACGUGAGAUUGUGUUGCCGGAUUGAUCGAAUGAUUGGGUAAAGUAAUGAACAACCCUUAUUGUUGAGCAUAGUAGUAUGGUAGCUACGAAUUCGGUAUGAAUGACAUGCAUGCAUGAUUCAAGAUUGAGGCAUAGUCAGAUGCUCAUACCUAUACUUGCUUAUUCCUCGUUAAUGUUUUCAAUCCCAUAUAUCUAUCUAUCUGCAUAUCUAUCUGUGCCUGCUUAGACCUAGUGGGAAGAUCGGCAGAGUCGGCGGCCGAACGCACUGGGAACUAUUCGUAGUUCGCAUCCCACUUUGUUGCAGGUCUGAGUUCGAGUGUCCCCGGCGAGCGCGAGGACCGUGGCAAGGGCAUAGCGCCCUAGUGGUAUAUGUACAUAGCUAGCUCUACUUCCUUUUGCAUUAGCCCUACCCUGUACUUAUGUUUGAGAGUAGAUGUUGUAUAGGGUGAGGUUUGAGAGUGAUUGUACAUAUGAUCUGGAUGAAUGUAAAAGAUGAAAUAAUUGUAUAAAGUUAAAUGAGUUUAGUAGUUAAGUACAUCUCUCUUUUAUCACUUGUAUGCUUUACUUGUGUUGCUUGCUCUUGGUUGAUAAGCACUGUUUGUGCUUCGUCGUCGUUGUUUGAUCAUGUAUGUAGUCAAGUGUAUUUUCUAGAAACUUGUAUACAUGAUCUCGUUAUUUGAGCCUUGGGCGGAUAGAGGAGUUGUUGUCCGUUCGGCGGUCCGUUCGUCGCGCCCGAACCAGACCAAACUGGUAGCGGGCUCGGGGCGGGGACGUGACACAACGAUUGAUUGCAAGAGCAGAGUGAUUACAUUUCGUGAGUCGGGACAGAAGGAGUUCAUUUAUCGGGCUUGUCAGAGCUCGUGCUUCGUUGCGACAGUAUCGGCGACGAGAGCAAGAAAGCUGGUCAACAGCGGUUGCGCAGCAUUCUUGGCAACCGUUGUAGAAGUGGACCAAGUGGCUCCGACCUUGGAGGAGUUAUCGGUGGUGCGGGAGUUCUCGGUGUGUUUCCCGCGGAGUUACCGGGGAUACCGCCGGACAGGGAGAUCGAGUUUGUCAUAGACUUGGUUUCCGGUACCGCACCGAUCUCGAAGGCUCCAUACCGAAUGGCAUCGGCGGAAGUGAAAGAGUUGAGGAGUCAACUGCAAGACCUUCUCGACAAGCAGUUUAUCCGGCCAAGUGUAUCACCGUGGCGAGCCCCGGUGUUGUUUGUACGGAAGAAGGACGGAUCGUUUCGACUCUGCGUGGAUUACCGAGAAUUGAACAGAGUCACGAUCAAGAACAAGUACCCACUACCCCGAAUCGAUGAUUUGUUCAACCAGUUGCAGGGGUCGUGUGUGUACUCAAAAAUAGAUUUGCAGUCCGGCUAUUACCAGUUGAAGAUCAAGCCGGAGGAUGUGCAGAAAACUGCGUUCCGUACGCUGUACGGACACUAUGAAUUCACAGUCAUGCCAUUUGGACUCACGAAUGCUCUAGCGGCGUUCAUGGACUUGAUGAACCGUGUCUUCAAGAAGUAUCUGGACUGAUUUGUCGUAGUCUUCAUAGACGACAUAUUGGUCUAUUCUCGCAGUGACGAGGAACAUGCCGAGCAUUUGAGAAUAGUGCUUCAAGUUCUUCGGGAGAAGAAGCUAUAUGCUAAGUUAAAAAAGUGUGACUUCUGGCUCUGAGAGGUCGCAUUUCUAGGGCAUGUAAUUUCCGCGGGUGGAGUUUCUGUAGACCCGAGGAAAGUUGAGGCAAUCAAGGAUUGGCCGCGCCCGACGAAUGUCACGGAGGUUCGAAGCUUCGUGGGCUUAGUGGGCUACUAUAGACGGUUCGUGGAGGGCUUUUCGAAGUUAGUAAUUUCACUUACCCAUCUGACUCAAAAAGGCACCAAGUUCGUCUGGAGCGAGGAAUGCGACCGGAGUUUCAAAGAAUUGAAGCAAAGAUUAACUUCGACUCCGGUGCUCGUUCUACCAAUACAAGGCAAAGACUUCGUGGUCUAUAGCGAUGCUUCCUAUCUAGGAUUGGGGCGUGUCCUGAUGCAGAGCGGGAAGGUGAUCGCUUAUGCGUCCCGUCAGCUGAAGAGCUAUGAGAAGAAUUACCCCAUUCAUGAUUUGGAGCUAGCGGCGGUAAUCUUCGCCUUGAAGCUGUGGCGGCACUACUUGUAUGGUGCCCACUGCGAGAUCUACAUCGACCACAAGAUCAUGAAAUAUCUGUUCACACAGAAAGAGCUCAACAUGCGACAACGACGGUGGUUGGAACUGCUAAAAGAUUAUAAUGUGGAUAUCCUUUACCACUCAGGAAAAGCGAAUGUGGUCGCGGAUGCGCUGAGCAGGAAAUCAGCGGAGAACCUCGCUAUGUGGGUUACGAAUCAAACGCCCCUAUGGCUGGACAUGGAGAGAAUGGAUCUUGAGGUGGUUGCUCCCGAGAUUCCGGCCCAGUUGAUGGCGCUCGUUGCCCAACCGACCUUGUUGGAGAGGAUCAAAGAUCUGCAACCUGCAGACCUAGAACUUCAAAGGGUGCGGCGAAACAUCGAGGAGGGUCAAGGCGGCAAUUUCAGUAUGGACGUCGGUGGUACACUUCAGUUUCGAAACCGGUGGUGUGUGCCCAAAAAUGGAGAGCUUCGCGAGCUAAUUCUACAAGAAGCGCAUCGGUCUCCAUAUGCUGAUCACCUGGAGGGUUGAAAGUGCACUAUUGGUGGCUGGGAAUGAAAAGUGAUAUUGGACGCUUCGUUGCUAAGUGCUUAGUAUGCCAACAAGUGAAGGCAGAGCGCCGAUUUCCAGCGGAAAAGCUUCAAAGCCUUCCAAUCCCCGUUUGGAAAUGGGAAGAUAUAUCGAUAGACUUCGUGGUCGGCUUGCCUCGCUCAACUGGCGGCCACGAUGCAAUUUAGGUAAUUGUGGAUCGUUUGACGAAGUCGGUUCACUUUUUGCUGAUCCACACCACAUGGGUAGGUGACAAACUGGCGCAGGUAUACCUUGAUGAGAUAGUGAGGUUACACGGGGUGUCGAAAUCGAUCGUGUCGGAUCGUGAUCCCCGGUUACCUCGCACUUUUGGAAAAGCCUGUAGGAAGCCCUUGGCACACGGCUCGAUUUUAGCAAAGCAUUCCAUCUUCAGACAGAUGGGCAAACAGAGAGAACCAUUCAAACUCUGGAGGAUAUGUUGCGAGCGUGUGUCAUAGACUACAAGGGAAGUUGGUGUGAUCAUCUGCCGAUGGCCCAGUUCGCCUACAACAAUAGUUAUCAUGCUAGUGUAGAGAUGGCACCGUUCGAGACUCUCUAUGGGCGGAACUGUCGAUAUCCUAUACACUGGGGCGAUGUGGGUGAGCGUGCGGAGUUCGGCCCUGAUGUUUUGCUAGAAGCGGAGGAGAAAGUCCGCCUUGCUCGCAAGAGGUUGCUCACGACGUAGUCGAGACAGAAAAGCUAUGCUGAUAGGCAUCGUCGAGACUUGGAGUUCACAAUAGGCGACCACGUAUUCUUGAAGGUCUCACCCAUGGGGGGUGUAAAACGAUUCGGAGUUCGGGGAAAGUUAAGUCCCCGAUACAUCGGACCUUACGAGGUAUUGGAGCGAAUUGGGACCGUGGCUUAUCGGCUUGCGUUGCCGCCAAAGCUCGCAGAUGUGCAUAACGUGUUCCACGUCUCCUAUCUUCGCAAAUACAUUCAUGAUCUCGAGCAUGCUCUAUUGUACGAGCCACCGGAGCUCCAAGAGGAUUUGAGCUAUGAAGAGUUUCCGGUGGGGGUUAUUGCUCAAGAAGUGCGAAAGCUACGAAAUCACGAGAUUCCUUAUGUGAAGAUUCGGUGGAGCAAUCAUGAUGAUCGCGAGACCACCUGGGAACUCGAGGAUCUGAUGAGAAAGCACCAUCCUCACUUAUUUGAGGAAUAAGGUAUGAAUUUGAGUUAAAGUUGAGAAUUGAAUUAGUUUCGAGGACGAAACUCCUUUUAAGGAGGGGAGGAUGUAAGGAAGUGAAUCCUCGAAAUCCGAGAGUUGAACUUCGACCAGAAUCGACUAUUUGUCGAGUAGGUACCCUUCAGAAAGGCUAAAGAUGUCCAAAACACAAAAGUGCUUUGGAGUCGAGUCCACGAGAGCAAGAAAUGUGAAAAUCUGCACCUGACAGAUUUUGCUCUCGGGGACUGGUCCCUGGCAGGGAGAGACCGGUCCCCGAACUGAGGGAUGCAGCAACGCGCGAUGCAACCGGUCCCUGGGCCUGAGGGACUGGUUCCCAAACGCGUAAACUUAGAGAGGUCCCAAGGGACCGGUCCCAGGCAGGGAAAGACCGGUCCCUCCUCGCGAAAUCUGCCCAGGCAGAGUAAGUUGAGAGGGUUAAAGUAGAGGGGCUUUUAUGCAAAAAUGCUAUUAGUUAGAGGGGUAUAGAGGGGCUGAGCCCUCUCCUCUCUCUCACCCUCACCCUCACUCUCUCACUCAGCUCUCUCUCUCUCUAGAAAGAAAAUAGAAGCAGAAGAAAGAAAAGAGAAGGAGAAGAGAGAAAAGAGAAAAAGAAGGAGGAGAAGAAGAAGAAGGAGGAGAUCAAGCUAGAGAAGGCUUGGAGCAUCUUACUCUUCCUCUCCUCUCCCUUAGAGCUAACCUAGAGGUAAGCUCUUGAGCCCUAAUAGUAUAACUUAGGAUUUUUGGGUUUUUGGCUUUGGAAAGGAGGUCAAAUGGACCUCUAGCACCAUUAGUGGUGGAUUAGAGCUAGAGGCUGGGGUUCCUUAGUGCAAAUGGCAAGCUGUGAACCCUAGGGCACCCGAAUUGGGAUUUUUGAUAAAGUAUGAGAUUGAUCUUAUUUGAGGGCAUAUAAACCUAAUUGCUAGGUGUCUAAACCCGGGGGCGAAGUCGGAAUUUCGAUUCGUCGAGCGGGGAAAAAGCUAUCGGCAAAAUAAGGCCGAUUGAGCAUCAUUUUGGACCAAGGAGGCCGAGACCUCGUCGUAACGUUCGGCGAGAGGCAUAUCUAGAACCUCUGCAACAAGAAAAGGUGGGGGAUGUCAUCCCGAAGCAGCCGAACUCUCUAUUAUGUCUUAGAAUAACAUGAUUUACAUCUCUUGCAUGUUGCAUUGUAGGAUUGUAUUGUAGUACCUUUUCCUUAUACUUCUAAAUGUUAACCUAGUGUACAUGGAAUACUUGGUGAAAAUGGAUAGGUAAGGAUUGGGUCGAAACAUGGAUCCUAUAGUGCUAAAGAAAAGAGAUAAACUCGAUGGUUAUUUAGUGACAUAGAGAGUGACAUCUAAAUGUUUAAAGAACAUAGAGAGUGGCAUUAUGUAGUGUAUUUGACACUAGAGGUUCAUAAACUUAGGGAUAGGUGGAUUCCCUAGAAAAUGACUCGUGAACAAUGAACUUAGUAAAGCUAAGUAACUAUGCAUGAAAGUCGAAAUAGGUGAGUUCUGAGAGAAAUGUUGGCCCUAGUUCGUAGGGUAUCCUCACGUGGAGAGGAUAGAUCAAGCUCAUGGUCUAUUAUUUGGGGUGGUAAAGCCAUCCAUAUCCUCACAUGGAGAGGAUUGGUCGUCAAGUACUCCGGAGUGUCGGGCGAUUAGGACAGAGUUGAUGUCCGCAGACAGUCCCGGGUUUGGGGCACAUGGAGCUCCCUACCCUAUGGGAUGGAUAUGUGAGAUGUAGGCAGACCCAAGGGUCUUGCCACAGACUAUUGGUAGAGUAGUAGCUUUCCCUUUUGCAUUAGCACACCUAUGUAUUUGAGAGAGAUUCAUGUAGGUGAGGACUUUGGAGAGCUAUGUACUUGAUGAAAAUAUGUAUUCAUUUUGAGGAAAAGAAUGUAAUUGUACACAAUUACAAAUGUGAUGUAAUAGCUAGUAGGUUCUCUCUUUAUUUCACUCGUGUAUCUUGUGGAUUACUUGCUCUUUGUUGUUGGCACUGUUUGUUCCCCGUUGAUUGUGUACUUAUAGAAUUUAAUAUCCUGGGUAAAUUCUUGUACUCGAUCUAUUGUUGAGCCUUGGGCGGACAAGGGAGGUGCUGUCCGUUCGGCGUCCAUUCGCCGCGCCCGAACCGUACCAAAUUGGUAGGAGUCUCGGGGUGGGGGUGUGACACAAUAGGAUGCCUGAUCACCUUUUUGGGCACCCAAAUUAUGGACCAGGCAGAUUGAGUGGGUGCUCGAAUCUAGAACAGGGCAUAGUUACGUGCAAUCCGAGCACCUAAAAGUUUAGGCGGGCGCCUGAGCCUAGUGUAUGGAGAGUGGUUUAGUUCUUUAUAAAUAAAAAAUGUUGGGAGGUUUAUAUGUUAUUGUAGUGUAAUGCCCCAUUUUUCUUUUUUUUUUUUAAUUUGAAAUUUAUUUUGUUAUUUGAUAGAGAAGGACUAUUUAGUUUAACUUAAAAAGUUUAGGGGUCUAGAUGCAAUUGUGCAACCCUAAUUAAUUAAGAGCAGUGCUAGAGGGUAGGGUUGUAAGAUGUACACCCCUUUUGGGUUGUACCAGUAGCAUUUUCCAUUAAUUAAAGGGUUAAUUACAUACAGCUCCCUGCAAACAUAACAAAUAGCAAAUAAAUCCCUACAAAGUUCAACUUUCAACUCUUAUUCCUACAAAAGUCUAGUGAUAAUCAUAUUUGUCCCUCUAGUUUUUUACUGUUAGAGAAUUGUUUAUUUUUUAACAGCAGAUAAGUGAAAUGUCAAUUUUGCCAUCACAAAUAUGCCCUUUCAAAAGCCCCAACUGUUAUAAUCGUUCAGAUAUGUCCCCUUAAAAAAUUUUCAAUGGUAAUCUUUGUCACGCCCCGCCCCGAAACCACUACCAAUUUGGCACGAUUCGGCCGCGACGACGGACCGCCGAACGGACAGCACCUCCCCUGUCCGCCUAAGGCUCAACAACAGGAAUGUGUACAAGAAUUUACCCAGGACUUUAAAUUCUAAACAUACACAUUCAACGAGGGCACAAACAGUGCCAACAACAAGAAGAGCAAGUAAUCCACAGGAUAUACGAGUGAAAUAAAGAGAGUACUUUACUAACUAUUACAAUAGUUGCAUUCUUUAUAUUUACAUCAUUUUCCAAAAUGAAUACAUUUGAUCCUCAAAAUACAUAGCUCUCCAACCUCACCUACAUGAAUCUCUCUCUAUACAUAGGUGUGCUAAUGCAAAAGGAAAGCUACUAUACUACCACGGCCUCACUGAUCGGGCGCGAUGCCCUUGCCGCGGUCCUCCCUCGACAAUCCUGAACCUACCACUGGAAAUAGAGUGGGGUGAGACUAUCUUCCAUAGUUCCUAGUGGGCUCGGCCGCCGACUCUGCCGAUCUCCCCACUAGGUCCAAGUGGGCACAAAUAACAACAGAUAGAUAGAUAGAUAUGUAUCUGAAAGCUGUAAAUGCGAUAGUAGGAAAAACUAUGCUACUAUGCCCAUAAUCAUAAGUAUGAAUGCAUGCAUCAUAUAAUAAAGGUUUGCUAUCGUGCUAACAAAUUCGAUCCAUGUUCGAAUAGCUAUGUUCAAUGACAUUUAUUAACCUUUAACCUUUCAUUUACCCAAUCUGUGGCGAGGCCCUAGGGCUCGCCCAUAACUCAUCUUUCAAUCCCAAAGUGGGGAGGGAGCUCCAAGUGCACCCAAGCCCGGGACCGUCUGCGGACCUCCAUGUGGUCCGGACCUCCAAGUGGUCCUAGUCGCGCGACACUCCGGAGUACUCGACGACAAUCCCCUCCAUGUGGGGAUCGGAUGGCUAUGCCACCCUAACGCAGACUGUGAGCUAGAUCUAUCCUCUCCAUGUGAGGAUACACUGUAACUAGGGUCAACACCCAAUCCAAUCCUCUCCAAGUGAGGAGGCUCUAUAACUAGAGUCAAUAACCCAAUCGAAUCCUCUCCAAGUGAGGACGCCCUACACUAGGGUCAACGACUAUUGCGGAAUCAUCGGUUCCCGACAUUAAUGCAAUGCUAUUUAGUUUUCUAAAUUUAUUGUUCAUAAGGCAUUUUCUAAGGAAUCCACCUAUCCCUAGGUCCAUCGACCUCUAGUGUUAUUUACACUACAUUAAUGCCACUCGUCAUCAUUUAUCAUUCGGAUGCCAAUCGUGUUCUUUAACACUAUCCACUACUUCCUAUAUCAUCAAUACCCCCAUCGGGUUCAUCUCUUUUCUUUCGCACCAUAGGAUUCACGUCUCGACCCAAUCCUCACCUAUCUAAAUUACCAAGCGUUCCAAGUACACUAGGUUAUCAAUUAGAAAGCAUAAGAAAUGGAGCUACUAUGCAAUCCUACAAUGCAACACGAAGAGAUGAGAUUAUAUGCAAUCUAAGACAUAGAAAGGAGUUCGAAAGUUUCAGAUGACACCCCCCAC
rnacentral:lncRNA from 1 species